AGUCUUUAUCUAUGACAGACAACCUGAAUCUGAUUGAGGGAUUCACUGAGAGGGAAAUAAGGGAUGCAGUGUGGCAAUGUGAAGGCUCAAAAAGUCCGGGACCUGACGGGUUCAACUUCAACUUCCUAAAGAAGGGAUGGAAGGUAGUAAAGGAAGAUUUUUUGGGUGUGUUGAAGUUCUUUCAUGAAACAGGUUGUAUACCGAAGGGAUGCAAUGCGUCAUUCAUUGCACUUGUUCCUAAGGUAAGGAAUCCUGUGUCUCUCGAUCAUUUCAGACCUAUAUCCCUAGUUGGGGCCAUGUAUAAAAUUAUAUCCAAAGUGUUGGCAGAAAGGAUUAAGAAAGUGCUACCCACGAUUAUUAACGACUGUCAGUCGGCUUUCCUGAAGAAUAGGGGGAUCCUGGACAGCGUUCUAACGGCUAAUGAAGUGGUAGAAGACAUUAGACGACGAGGGCAAAGUGGGCUAUGCCUAAAGGUCGACUUCGAAAAAGCGUACGACUCGGUUAGAUGGGAGUUUCUGUACGAUAUGAUGGGAAAGAUGGGGUUUCAUAGGAAGUGGAUCAGAUGGAUCCAUGGCUGUCUGGAAAGUGCCUCUAUCUCUGUGCUGGUGAAUGGGAGCCCGACAGAUGAAUUUAAACCUGAGAGAGGGUUGAGGCAGGGAGACCCACUUGCCCCCUUUCUUUUUUUGAUAGCAGCGGAAGGCUUGUCAGGGUUGGUAAGGCAAGAUGUGAAGGCUAACUUACUAUCCGGUUUGAGGGUCGGGAGAAAAGAGGUUGAGAUAAGUAUCUUACAGUUUGCUGAUGACACUCUUUUCUUCUGUGAGGUCUCUUUUAGCAAUGUGGUGACUUUAAAGGCUAUCCUUAGAGGGUUUGAGGUAGCGUCAGGCCUCAAGAUAAACUUCUACAAGUCCAGGAUUGCAGGUAUUAAUGUGCAUAGGAACAAGAUCCGCUGUUAUUUGAGGAACUUGAAUUGUGUGGAGAUGACAGUACCUUUCAAGUAUUUAGGGCUUCAGGUGGGAGGCAACCCGAGGAGGAAGAAGUUCUGGGAGCCAGUCAUUGAUAAGUUGGAGAGCAGGCUAAGCACGUGGAAAUGGAGGUUCUUAUCAAUGGCAGGUAGAAUCUGUGUUAUUAAAUCGGUGCUUACAGCAGUACCCCUGUACUACCUUUCCAUGUUCAAAGAACCUGUUUCGGUUUGUAAGAACAUCAAGCAUAUUCAAAGAAGGUUCCUGGGGGAAGGAAAAGAAACCGAUCUCAUGGGUCAGUUGGGAAAAUGUGUGCAAACUAAAACAGGAAGGAGGGCUGGGGAUCAUAGAUAUACGUGAUUUCAAUUAUGCUCUGAUGGCAAAAUGGAAGUGAAGGUGGCUCUCAGAUGAAAAAGGAAGAUGGAAGGACAUCUUGGAGUCGAAAUAUGGAGGAGGUGGUGAGGGGACUAACCCACCAUUUAAGCUGCAGUCUUGGUGGUGGAGGGACCUACAUAAAGUUUGUAUGGAAGGAGGAGGAGAGGGAUGGUUCCAAGCCGAAAUGGGUUGGAGGUUAGGGUGCGGUGACAGAGUGAAAUUAUGGGAUGACGUGUGGGUUGGGAAUACCAAUCUCAAAUCCGUGUUCCCCAAAUUGUACACCAUAUCAUGUAAUCAGAGUCAAACAGUGGAAGAGGUAGUCAUGUGGGAAGGGGACGUCUGGCGAUGGAACUUAAGAUGGAGGCGGGCCAGGUUUGAGUGGGAGUCGGUGAUGGAAACAGACCUAGCCUCAUAUAUUUCUAGGGUUGUUAUUACACGGCAGGAGCAAGACACUCGGGUAUGGGGGAUCAAUGAUAAGGGGUGUUUCUCAGUGAAAUCAGCUUAUGCGAGCAUAAGAGGAGAUGGCACCCGCAAUGCUAUUUUUGACCUCCUUUGGAAGGCCAAGGCCUUUCCCUCUGUUCUGACCACUGCGUGGAGGUCCUUCCUGGAUAGACUACCAACUAGAGAAUGCCUGAGUAGGAGGGGGGUGACGAUGGAAUCCACUUUAUGCGAGUUCUGCCAUUCUAAAAUUGAAACCAGCCAUCACUUAUUUUUGGAGUGUCAAGUGGUCGUGCGUGUUUGGGACUUAUGUCAUAGAUGGCUAGGCAUCCUUUCUGUUCAACACAAUGUUCUGAGUAAUCACUUUGAAAGUUUCACUUUGAUUCAGGCCAGUAACAAACAAGACUUGAUUUGGAAAGGUAUCUGGACUGCUAUAGUACGUAGUGUAUGGGAACAUAGGAACUUGGUCGCGUUCAAGCAAGGAGUUGUAGAUGCUGAAGAGAUGUUACAGCAAGCUCAACUGAAAUUAUGGUUGUGGAUGAAGUAUAAGGUAUGCAAGUUCAAUUACUCUUUUGUGGAUUGGGUUUUAAACCCAAUUUUGUGUAUCAAGAGCUAUAAGUAAUGGACCUCCAAAGUAAAGUCCGGUCCAGGAAAGGCAGAAGGGUCCGUGGAAGAUUGGAAGAUCUGUAGGCCAUUUAGCAUUUGUGGUAAGAUCGUUGGUUUGCAGGUGCUGUGUUCAAUAGGCGUAAGCCAAGGCGCGACUGGGAUGGAUGGAGGCUAUGGUUCUGUUCGCUCGGCAGAAUGGCUUGGGCAUGCUCGAAGAGGUUGUUGCCUUGGUCUGGGGAGCACUAUAAUAAACGGGGUAUAUGACUGUUACGUAACAUGGUGCAUGUAUGGACUGGAAUGGAGUAAGGACUGUAGGGGACGUCUGUGGUCGAUCAAAGUUAUGCAAAGGUCAACAUGAUCGCCGGUCGACGAAGCGGCGUUCUCCAUAUGUGUGUAGUCGGUGGUCGCCGAAGUUAUACAAGGUUAACAUGAUCGCCGGUCGAUGACACGGCGAUCUCCAUGCGUGCGGAGUCGGUGGUCGUCGAAGUUAGUCAACAUGAUCGCCGGUCGACGAAGCGGUGUUCUCCAUAUGUGUGUAGUCGGUGGUCACCGAAGUUAUACAAGGUUAACAUGAUCGUCGGUCGAUGAAACGGCGAUCUCCAUGCGUGCGUAGCCGGUGGUCGUCGAAGUUAUGCAAAGGUCAACAUGAUCUCCAUGGUCGAUGAAACGACGAUCUCCAUGCGUGCGAAGUCGGUGUCGCCGAAAGGUGUGUAGUCGGUGUCGCCGAAAGGUGUGUAGUCGGUGGUCGCCGAAGUUAUGCAAAGGUCAACAUGAUCGCUGGUCGAUGAAGCGGCGAUCUCCAUGAGUGCGUAGUCGGUGGUCGUUGAAGUUGUGUAUCAUUGCCGUAUUCGAAGAACAGAAGAUCAGAUACUGAAAAUCACCGAGGUAGACACAUCGUCGGGUUUUCCAGAAAGUUACUUGAAGCUUUUGGAGUUUAGGUGACAAAGUUCAGACGUGCUGGUUCGAUAAAGAUGUCUGUUAACCUUAACAAGAGCAAUGAGAUGAAGGGAACAGCACGGUCGUCGACGAGGGGAUUUCCCGAGUGGAUCCUACUCGAGAGCAGGGUUUCCUUAGGUCAAAGCAUACAUGGCGAGAAGCAUUGGCGGCAGGCGAUUUUGCAAAGAUUGUGCUCCUUGUGGCACUUAGUGCUCACCAGAGUAAGUUACAUGGCGAGUUAUUCCGUGCAUGGGUAACUCGUCGUGUGGCGAGGUGUUCUGGGUGUUUCGGUAAGGUCGAAUGUUGCUUUGAGGUAACCUGUUGGUUAUAUUUUUGGGUAUGUUUUUCUCACUUUAAGGUUGUUCUGCUCCAACCAUAAAGGAGAGUUUCUUUUGUGGAUGAUAUAGGAAGUCCACUUGUGGUUACUGUAUAUGGGUUGGGAUACCCCUGAAGUAUUCCCGUUAAUUUUAUUUAUUCAUUGCUGAUAAAAAAAAACACUAAAAAAAUUUAUUAAAUAUAAAUUAAUUUUAGAGAUAAAAAAUAAUUAGUUACUAUAUUAAUUAAAUUAGAUACUAUUUUAGAAAUUAAAAAAAUUAUUGAUAUUUAAACUAAUUUUUAUUAUUAAUAAAAUUUAUAAUUUAUUUUUUAAAUUGAUAUAUAAUUAGUUAUCACGGUUUUAGUUAUCAACUAAUUAAGACUCUAAAUUUGAUAGUUAAAAUCUUGGUAACUAAUUAGAUACCAAUUAACUAAAUUAAAUACUAAUUCAGAAAUUUUAUAAAUUUUGAAACUGCUUACAAUAAAUUUUUAUUAUAUAAUUUAGUCAAUAUAAUAAUUAAUUAAUUUUUUACUCUAAAAUUAAUUUAUAUUUUAUUAUUUUCUAGUAGUAACCAAAUAUUAAUUUUUGUCUCACCAAAUCAUGCAAGUAUCAUGAUUAGUUAAUACACCUUAACAAUUAAGUAAUACUAGAACUAAUAAUGAUACACACUUUAAUCUAUGUAAAAAGUUCAAUAAAUUAUUUUUUAAAAUUUGAUUAAGAAACCUUAACAUUAGCUAGGAUUUUUUUUAUUGAUAACUUCAACCAACCACAUUAAGCAAAAAUAAUUAUUGAGUAAUGCCACCCACGAUGUUUUUUCACCGCGACUUCACAACCACCGUACGAACACACGAAUCGUAACCUGCAACCACUACAUGAACGCACGAACCGUAACCUGCAACCACCGCACAAACCGUCACCACCGAGUGACUUCCUCUGCCCAAUCGCUGCCACCGCGCGACCUGUUCUGCUCGAUCGCCACCAUCGCCGCACUCGUUCAGAGAAGACACGCCACCUCCGCACCAGAGAAGACGCAACGAAUGUGACUGAAACCAAAACGCAGCGCAAAACCCUUGUUAGUAUUUGCGAAUGGCGGGGGCCUAUAUGAGUUUCCUCAUCCCAUGAAAUUGUUUGAUGGAUCGAGAAGUGUCUUCUAAUAAGAAAGCAUUUGUUAUGUCAGGCCAAAGGAAGACAUUUGCUUAGGCUUUGGGAAAUACAUGUGACAUUCCUUUGUCCCAACUCCUUACUCCUUAUAUUAAGGGAGACAUGAUUGUUGUCUGGAUUGAUGAGGCAGAUUACUUGGUUGGUCUUCAGGAUUGUAAGACCAUCUUCAUGGUCGGGUUAUUCUAUCUAAGGGGGAUAAACCUCUCACACACCUGGAUUUAACUAAAAAGUUGCAGCAAGUGUGGAAGGCUCUUGAACCGUGGAAAGCAAUUCCUCUUGGGAAGGAUUUCUAUGAGUUUAAGUUCACUUCUCUAGAACACAUGCGAUGGGCCCUCGGGAUGGGUUCCUUGAAUUUAUUGCCUGGUUUCUUGAGAUUGUUUGCUUGGACAAAAGACUUUGUUCCUGCAACCAUGAAGAGUACCAAAACUCAGGUCUGAGUUAGAAUCUACAACUUGCCUUUGGAGUAUUGGAGACUAAUGCUCAGUUUGUUUCUAAGCAAUGAAAAGCGUAGAAUUACUGUGUGGGAGGAAAGCUCGAAAAUCAAAACAUUAAAAUAUUAAAAACACAGAAACCCAUAAAACUUUUGCCCUCUAAACUUUCUUCGCACAUUUGCGAAGAAAGUUGAGUAUUCGUAUAUUUAUUUAAUUACUUAAUUUUAAUUUACUUUUAUACCCUUUUUAUUUUAAAUAAAUUAUUAUUUAUAUUUAAAUAGAAUUUUAAUUUAAAUAUAAAAAAUAUAUUUAAAAUUAUACGAAAAUAAUUAUUAUAAAAUAACAUAAUUAAUCAUAUUAUAUAUAUAAUAAAUUAUAAACAUAAAUAAUAAUAAUAAAUAUACUUUUUAAUAAUAAAGAAAUAAAUUUAUAUAAUAAUUAUAUUAAUUUAAAAAAUUAAAAUUAAAAAUAAUAAUGUUAUUUAUAAUAAAAAUAAGUUUUUAUCAAACAUUUAUAAUAAUAAAUAUUUAAAUAAUAUUUUAAAUAAAAAAUAAUUAUAAUUUAUAAAUAAAUAAAUAAAAUUAAUUUUUUAACAAUUUGUAAAUGUAAGGGCAAAUAUGUAAAGUUACAUUUUUAUCAAUUAAAAAAAAUACAAUUUUAAUCACACCCAUCACAUCACUCACAAACUUUCGUCACACUUUCCACUCUAUUUACCUUAAUCCAAACAUCCUAACUUUCUUUACACUUUCUCUUCAAAUCAUCUCAAAUCCACUCCCUCAUUUCCCCUCUCUAAUCCAAACAAAGCAUAAGGGAGAUAUUUUCCAUCAUCCGAGGACUUGGUACUCCUUUCUCUUUGGAUGAGCAUACUAUGAGAAAGAACAAGGGUAUGUUUGCUAGAGUGUUGGUGGAUAAUGAUUUGUUGUUCCCUUUUCCCGAUCACCUCUUGGUUGAACGUCUAGACUAUGCCUUUGUAGCUGGUGUGGAAUAUGAAUGGCUCCCUCCAUUUUUCUCUCACGGUAAGACGAUUGGGCAUGAGUUUGCUCAGUGUCAGGUGAUUCAUGAUCAGGGUCGUGUUCUUGGGCAUCAACAUAAACCUUCUCAGAAGACAACUUUUGAUGAACAGGAACAGGGGAGGACCGCGGUUCCUAAACAAUGUAAAAAGUAUCAGAAGAAAGAUCUGCAACCGCAACUCGUGGAACGCCCCACUGAUAAAUUUUACAUUGAUGCUCCUGGUGGGGCUAAUGUAGGGUCACUUUUGGGUCACCUUGCUUCUGAUAAAACAAAUGAAGUGGAGGAUGAUUUUGCAAAUAUGCCUCCUAUCGAGUAUUCAUCAAAUCAUGAGAGGUCCACAUCCAGGCAAGGGUUGCCCACUCUAACUUUGGAUUUCCCAUAACUGGGGAUGCUAAGAAAUUCAUCUGAUGUUAUGCAAGCUAAAGGUUCAGAGUCACAUUCAAUUAUGACUCCUAUUGAUGAUCAUCAUGUGGAGUUCUUUAAUAUUCCAAUUGAUGGUCAUCAUGUGGAGGUCCCUGAUAUUGUGAAUGUACAAUCUUCGUAGCCUCAUACCUCCCCUCGGAAGGCUAAAUCUCUUGGGGAUGUUAAAGCAUUAUCGUUGGUCCUGCAAAAUCACUUUUCCUCUCUUGAUGGUUUGGAAAUUAUAGAUGUUGUUUCAGAAUUUUGGGUUGAUCCUAAUGAGAUGGAGGAGGAUGCCAGUGAUACUGGAGAGGAAAUAGUUUGCACUAAAAGAAAACCAGGGAGACCACCUAAGGGGACAGGUAAAUCCAAAAAAAUUGUUGAGGCAGCUAUCUCUACAAUGUCGCAAUGAAAGUCUUUUCAUUUUUCUGGAAUGUUAGAGGAUUUGGAAACCACAAAAUUGUGGAGAUGUUGAUUAGUUUACUUAAAAUACAUAAACUCCUCCUGAUUUUUCUUGUUGCAUCUAUGAUGUCGUACACUAAUGCAAUCGACAUCCUUUUCAAAUUUGUUAAUAUGCAUUUGGUGGCUACAUCUCCUAUUGUUAAUAAAGCUUCUAAGCUUUGGUGUUUGUCAGUUCUAAUCUUCUCCAAAAUUUCUUGGUUAAUGAUCGGUUUAUUUUUGUAACUUGUCUUUUCAUGAUAAUUUUUUUAGCUUUGCAAGUGUUUAUGGUGCUAACACAUACUUGGCUUGACGGUUUUUGUGGAGGGAUCUUAGUUCCUUCACAGUGCCUUGGUGUAUUCUAGGAGAUUUUAAUUUUGUGCUCUCGGCGGAUGACUGCAAAAUGGGGUGGCUCCUAAUCAAGUUUCUUGUAAUGAAUUUCUUGAUUGGAUUAAUACUAAUGAUCUUUCUUGUAUGCCUUUUACUAGAUCUUUUUAUACUUGGUGUAAUGGAAGGGGAGGGUUGCAUAGAAUUCAUAAAAGACUUGAUAGGGCUUUUAUGUAAUGGAGUGUGUCUGGAUGAAUGGGAUUCUGGUACUUAUCAGGUUCUUGUUAAAAUUUGUUCUGAUCAUUCCCCUAUUCUUGCUAGUCUUGCGAGUAAUUCUUUGAGGAAGGUUAGCAAUUUUCGUUUCUUUUCUAUGUGGCUUUAGGACACUUCAUGUCUGAAGCUUAUUCAUGAUUCUUGGGCUAAUAAGGUUGUUGAUUUUCCUAUGUUUAUUUUGCAACAUAAGUUAAAAAGGUUGAAAAUUGAGCUCCGAGAUUGGAAUAAAAAUUCUUUUGGUAAUGUUCACAACGCAGUUCUUCUUAAGCAGGGUCUACUCCUUGGUAUUCAAUAGAACUUAGAGACUACUAGUUUGUCUGAUAUUGAUGGACUUCUUUGUCAAGAAAAGAUUGCUAUGGAGGAGCUUGAUCAUGCUCUUCACUGUCAAUAUUUGUUUUGGAAAGAAAGGGCUAAGAUGUUAUGGUUCAAAGAUAGAGAUCGAAAUACGACUUUUUUCCAUGUUGUGGUCAAAAGGAGAAAUAAUUCCAGUGGGAUUCAUUGUCUACUGAUUGAUAAUGAGGUUACUGAGAAUCCUAAACUCAUUGAUGAUCAUAUUUUGGACUUUUAUAAAAAAAAAUAUGUUGAGUCUAUUUCUAAUGUUCUGAAUACAAGUUAUAUGGAGCAUUUUAUGGGUUCUUAUAAUCCUGAGCUAGUUUCCUCAUAGCAGAAUAUGAUGUUGAUUAAAUGUUCUGAUUUUUUGAAAAUCAACACUACUAUUUUUAAUCUUAAUGGUAAUAGUGCUCUUGGUCCUGAUGGUUUUGGUGGUGUUUUCUAUCAUUCUUGCUGGGACAUUAUUGGGACAGAUGUUUGCAAUGUUGUUCAAUAGUUUUUAAACAAAAAUGGGUUCUCCCUGUAAUGAACAAUAAUGUGGCAUCUCUUAUUCCUAAGAUUCAGGGUGUUGACUCCAUUAAAGAUUACAGGCCAAUUGUUGUUGUUAAUUUCAAAAUUUAAGAUUAUUUCUAAGAUAUUGGUGGAUAGGCUUGUACUUGCGGUUGCUAGAAUCAUUUUUCCUAAUCAAUAUGGGUUUGUGCAGGGUAGUCAGAUUCAGGAUUGCAUUGGUAUUGCUUCUGAAGCUAUUAACAUGCUUUCUAAAAAGGUUAGAAGAGGUAAUGUGGCUUACAAAGUUGAUAUUCAUAAAGCCUUUGACACUCUUAGUUGGAAGUUCUUAUUAUUAGUUUUGACACGCUUUGGUUUUCACCCCUCGUUUGUCAAUUGGAUUAGUAUAAUUCUUCGUUCAAUUAUGCUUUCUAUCAAAAUAAAUGGCAGUUUGGUGGGGUUUUUUCCUUGCAAUAGAGGUGUCAGACAAGGUGAUCCUUUAUCUCCUUUACUUUCUGUCUUGUAGAGAAAGUUCUUAGUAUAGGUAUCUCUAAGCUUGUGAAUGAUUAGAAAAUUUUACAUAUGGCUAGUCCGCAAGGUUAUCUCAAUCCCUCUCAUAUUUUAUAUGUUGAUGACACAUUUGUUUUUUGUAGGGGGGAUUUUUCUUAAAACAUAUGGUGAUUUUUCUAGUCAAUGUGUUAAUAACUCUAAAAGUAGCUUUUUCACCGUGGAUAAUUUUGCAAGAUUUGUCACCAAAAUUCAACGUAUUCUUUCUUGUAGUCAUGGUUGUUUGCCUUUCGAUUAUUUUAGAGUGUUUAUCUUUGUUGGUUCUCCAAAGUGUCGAUUUCUUCAACCUUUGGCUGAUAAAGUCAAAUUGAAGCUAGCAUCUUGGAAAGGUAAAUCUCUUAGCAUGAUGGGUCGAAUUCAGUUGGUUAAUACGAUGAUUACUGGAUUUCUAGCUUAUAGCUUUAAUAUGUAUAAUUGGCCUAUUUCACUUCUUAACCAAGUUGAGCAAUGGUGUCAAAAUUUUAUUUGGACUGGUGAUAUUCUAAAAAAGGGCAUAGUCACUGUGAAUUGGGAUACGAUUUGUUCUCUUCUUGAGAAUGGAGGUUUGAAGAUUAUUAAUCUUCGUCGUGAAAAUAAUGCAUAUCUUCUUAAGCUUGCUUAAAACUUUGCUUAUAGCAACAGACCUUGGUCUUUACUCUUGAAAACCAGGGUUCUUAAAUCAAAAUACAAGUUUAGAAUGGUUUAUAGAACCUCGUCUCUUUGGCGUGGAAUUAAACAGUUUUAUUCUACUAUACUUGAUUAUACUUCUUGGAUUGUUGGUACAAGUUCUUUUAUUAAUUUCUGGAAUGAUAAAUGGUGUUCUACUACUAUUUUAGCCAAUAUUGUAGGGUUAUCUGAUGGUGCUAGCAUUUCGGAUACAGACUCUCAGUUUUGGACAGAUUGUGACUGAAAUAUUCCUUUAUCUUUAUAGCAGAUGCCUCAUUUUUUUAAUCAUAUCAUGGUUAAGGAGGAACAUGAUAUUCCUAAUUGGAUUCUAGAUGAGUCUGGUUGUUUCACUCUUAAAUUGGCUAGGACUUUUUUCUUGGAACCAGGAGUUCUCAGUGGUUGGGGUAAAUUCAUUUGGUCUUCAUCUAUUCCGCCUUCCAAAACUCUAGUACUCUGGAAAGGUUUUCAUGGGCGACUUCCUACAAAUCAACAUAUUCAGAAUAAAAUUUUACAUAUAUGUUCUAUGUGUACUCUUUGUGAAAAAGCAUGAGGAAUCACUAGUGCAAAAAGAAGAAAAGGAUACUCUUUAUUUAGUGCGGCUUUUGUGCUACCCGCUUUCGUAAAAAACGCGGUGGCAUUUUUUAAAUUAUUUUGAUUUACGAAUGCGGCUAUUUAUAUAGCCGCACUUAUAAAUCAAACCGCUUGAUUUACGAAUGCGGCUAUUUGUAUAGCCGCACAGCCGCACUUGUAAAUCAAAACGUUUUGAUUUACGAAUGCGGUUUUACCUUUAGCCGCAUUCGUAAAUCCGUUUUUAUCCUAAAUUUUGAAGCGCGCCACACACAAUUUCAUACUUUCUUUCUCGUCUUUGCCUUCGUUUCACGUUCGCACUCUGAGUUCGUCUCCUUCUGCUGCAUCUGCAUUCCAUUUGUGUCAAUGUAAGUUUCUUGAGCUCUCUUUCUUCCUCUUCAUCUUCACAAAUAUAUGCAUAGAUGUUUUCGUUUUUCCUAUAUAUAUAUAUAUGUUUCUUUCCUUGCAUUGGUGGUCUCGAAGCACUGUUCCGUUGGUUGGCAUUCGUUUUUCUUACAUUGUUUGGUUUCUUGCAUUGCUCAGUACUCUUUCAUUGUCUUUGUGGGUUCUUGUGGAUUUUUUGGUUUGCUUCGUCGCUGCUUCCCUGUCCGCCGCCGCUUCUGCUGUCGCCACCGUUGUUGGCGCUCCCGUGACUCUUCAUCAACGUUGCCUUCACACAAGAUUGACAAUGUUUUAAAAUUUUUAAAUUGUUUUUUUAAUGAUUUGGCAUAUACAAGUGCGGCUAAAACAAAUAGUCGCACUUGUAAAUGGUAUUUAUAAAUGCGGCUAUAUAACCGCAUUUGUAUUUCUUGAUUUACAAGUGCGUGUUGAUCAAAUGCGGCUAUAAAGCAGCAUUUAUAAAUUCGAAAUAGCCGCACUUGUUUUAUGUUUCUGCACCAGUGAAUCUAUUCAACAUUUAUUUUUUGAAUGUUCUAUACUUUGCGUAUUUGGAGUUGGGUUCGGCAGAUCUUUCUUACUUCCCAUUUCUCUAAUAAGGAUAAUCUUCUUUCUUUUAUUAAGAAUGAUGGUAGUCCUUUGGUUAAAUUGAUUAAGCUUGUUGUGUUAACUUUUUCUAUUUGGAUGAUAUGGCGUAUGAGGAAUUAUGCUAGAUUUCAGGAUAAAAUUGGGGUUUCUAAGGCUAUUUUGAUAAUUAAAGAUUUAACUUGUCUAAUGGGAAAUUCGUCUAAAGCUUCAAUGAAGAAUGAUAUAUUGGAUUUAAAAGUGAUUAAGUUUUUUGGUAUUAAUACUUGUAGUGGUAAAGUCCUCUUCCUGUUAGAUGGGAGUUUCCUUUACCAGGCUAGGUUAAAAUUAACAAUGAUGGGGUUGCUACGGGGUAUCCUGGUCUUGCUACUUGUGCAGUUAUUUUUCUUGGGAUUAUGGGAGAACUUAUUGGUGUUUUCUCUACGUUUCUUGAAGUUCAGACUGCUAUGGUUGUUGAGUUUUAUGGAGUUAUACAUGCUAUAGAGGAAGCCCAAAAGAUGGGGUUUACUAAUGUCUAGCUUGAAUGUGAUUCUGCCUUGGUUUUUGUAGUGUUUACUACUAGGACUAAUGUUCCGUGGAUGCUUCGUAAUCGAUGGAAUACUUGUCUUAAUUACUAUGGUAAAAUCAGGUUUAGGGUUACUCAUAUUUUUCGUGAAGGAAAUGCGUGCGCGGAUAAGUUAGCUAAUUUAGGAUUUAUUCAUAGAGAAUCAUUUCAUUGGUAUAAUAGACUUACAUCUAAUUUGUUCUUAGAAUUCUUUAUGAAUAAAUAUAGUCUACCUAUGUAUCAUUUUUGUUAACAUAUGAGUUUUGAUCAAGUUCCCCCGUAUUUUUGUAUUUUUUUAAUUUUUUUUAUUAAUAUUUUUUUCAUAUGAUGGCAUAUGAUUGUUAUUACUUGAGAUCUCAGCCUAGAUGAGAUGUCAAGUUGCAUAGUAAUGCUUAACAAGAAAACUUUUAUAAAAAAUAAUAAAAAGAAAAAUAGGAUAUGAAGUAUAGAGCUUAGAUAACAACUCAAAUUGUCAUAGUUUUAUCGAAAAACAAAUCUCAAACUUUAACACACCUUACCCGACAAAGACGUGGACAAAUGUUUCUCUUUAAAAUCCUCUUUUAGGUUUGUUGAAAAACAACAGAAAAUUAUUCUAUACUCAAAUUAAUAAGAGUUUUGAGAUAUAUAAAAAUAUUAAGUGAAUAAACAAAAUUAAUAAAUACUCCUUAAUAAAUAAUAUAUUAUAAUCUUUUAAUCUAUGUUAAUAUUCAAUAAUAUAGUAGUGAAAUAUAUUAAUCCGUUGUAAUAAAAAUCAGUUUUCAAAUAAAAAAUUUAUUUGAAUUUACAAGUGGUUUUACCUGAAUUUACAAAAACAAGUAAAAUUAUUUAUUAUUUUACGGUACAUAUAAACAGAAAAAAGAGAGGAGAUUUUCAAAAUUUGAAACUUAAAUGCUAGUGAUUAUUUAUUUAACACAUUCUUUUAAAUAUUAAAUUAUGUUUUAAUUGAUUAAAAGUUUGUAAACUCAAAUAUAUUUAUUGAAUCCCUUUCAUAAUUUUUAACAAUUAUUAACACAGAAUUGUAUGGGAUGAUAUAUUAACUUGAAUUGACAAAAGUAACAAGAAGAAAUUGAUGUGCUUGAUUAUAGUGAUUUGGAUUUGAAAGAUUAGUAUCUAAGUUCACUAAGACAUCCAUGAUUGAAACAUUGCCCAAACCUUAAAAUGUGUUCUAUUCUUCGAACCCAACACAUGUGGUAAAUGUCCAUUAAAGUACUCACUAGCAUGGCAGUUAGCAAAGAAUCAUAUUCGUUUUCAAAGGUGAUUAAUUCUUUGUACUUUUCUGGUCCUAUAAAUGAGGCUUUCCUUAAUGCUUUCACUCAUCCAAACAAGUAAGAAGCAAAAUCUCUUCUAACUAGACUGUUUGGUGUUUUGUUAAGAUGGGUGGCAACUUAUCGAGCAUGGAGAAUGCUCAUGUAUCAUCCAACUCAUCCUCCCACAUUCUCACCUUCCAUUCUACUGCUAAAUGGAAGGCUCAUUUUGAUGCCUCCAAACAAAUUAACAAGUUGGUAUGUAUGUUAUUACAGCUACAGUUCCUAAUUCUUUUUUAUUCUCAGCUUUCAGAAUCACCAUCCCAUUCUUUUCUUACCGUUUUUGCUUAAAGAUGGUGAUCGAUUUCACUGCUACAUGGUGUGGACCUUGCAAACAGAUGGACCCAGUUAUCCAAGACUUUGCUGCAAAGUACACCAACGUGGAAUUCAUCAAGAUUGAUGUGGAUGAGUUGAUGGUAUUCAUAUUUUUUUUCUUUCACUAUUACUUGCAUAUAUACAAUGCAUCAUUAUUUUUGUUCAGUGGAUCAUCUCAACAUUGAUAUGCAAACAGGGGGUCUCUGAAGAGUUCCAGGUGCAGGCAAUGCCAACGUUCAUAUUGAUGAAGAAAGGGAAAGUUGUUGAUAAGGUGUUGGGAGCUAAAAAGGAAAAGCUACAAAAGCUUAUUGAGAAGCAUCUAAACUGAGUGUGUGGAUCAUUCAUGGCUAUUGACCUGUAAAGAGGAAUAAAGACAAAUUCUUCACUAUCAACUGCCAUACCCCAUUACCAUGUAAAAUGGACUCAUGUGUGUUUAGCAUUUAUGUGUCAACUUUUUAGUGUUUCAUCAUAAAUCUUUAAACUCAGAAAUUAUUUAUGUAACCAAAAUGCGCAAAAUUUGUCCAUUGGGUUUUUGAGAGACUUUAAUGGCAGAUCAGCCUAUGCUAAUUAAUGUGUCUUUUACUUAGUUUAAAUGCUUAAGUUUUUUUUUUCAGAUCAAUUUUUAAGUUUCAAACUUUUUAAAUUUUUUUUAACUCCUUUUAAAAUAUUAUAUUAUUAAUUAUUAAUAUAUUGAGUUUUGAGUCCUAAUAUAUUGACAGUAACACAUAUUAGACGCUGCAAAUGUGGCAAUGACGUGACACAGGUUUAAAAUAGGGUAGUAACUUGCAGUGAGGCACGAGCUUUAAAAUAGGGUAAAAAGAAUAUAUUACAAAGGUUCUUUGUAACAGCCGAUGUAAUAUAUUGUUUUUUUUACUCAGAACAUAUUACAUCAGUUAAACCAUCUAACCGGUUUAAUAUAUGGCUCAUAUUCAAAAGCUUUUAGAAUUUUUUUCAUGAAAAGUGGGUGGCCGUAAACGUCACAUAAGUAACCACUCACGAAAACACGGGUAACCAAUUUUGCGUGUGCUAGUAUAUGUGGAGGAACUUGUGGCUGAGUCAUCGAUUUUGAUAGGGGGUGUCCAGUUCUGCCAUGGGUGUAAUAUAGAACCCAUAUUACACUUGUUCAACCAUCUAACCGGUGUAAUAUAUGGCCCUUAUUAAAAAAGAAUUUUGAUUUUUUUUUUCAUGAAAAGUGGGUGACCAUGAACGUCACAUAAGUAACUACUUACAAACACACGGGUAACCAAUUUUACGUGUGUUUUUUGUUUUUUUUUUUUUUUUUGAUCAGCACCAAUUUUACGUGUGUAAAAACCUGUGGUUGGAUAACCAGUUCUAGUAGGGUGGUUGUAAUAUAUGGCCCAUAUUACACCGGUUAAGUCUUCUAACCAGUAUAAUAUAUGACCCAUAUUACACCGGUUAAGCCAUCUAACAGGUGUAAUAUAUGUGAUCCCCGUUACUUCUUUCUCCCUCUCUCUAAAGAGGUCGCUGCUUUUGUCUCCCUUUUGUUUGACAUUCCAUUUCGUUCGAAACUCUCUCGCUUCCAGUUCCGCAUCCGCACUCAAACGUUAAACUCUUACACUUUUACAAAAACUGUCAUAUCACUCCCAUCAGAAUUACAAAAAACCUCACUGCCACAUCCUUACCCAAUGUCACGUCUGCAAUAUCAAGUCUGUGUUAAUUGACAGAAAAUGUUAAAAAUAACAUUUUCGAAAUGUUUCACAUCAACAAGAAUACAUCAUCUCCUUGACAAAAGGUAUCAUGUCACCGAAGUCAUAUAACUCAACAGUAAAAAAAAUAAUAAAUAAAAAAAUUUAAAAUAAAAAAUUACAGAAAAAUGUAAUAUAAAAAAAAUAUGUCUCGUAUAAUGAAUAGAACUAGCAGGAUCCAAUCUGACACCUAAUCAAAUGAAUUGUAAUAUUUUGUAUGUUGUAAUGAAGUACCUUUUAAUACUUUUGUUUUUAAGAAUUCAAUACUAGUCUUCACACUUUUAGAGUUGUUGAUAUCUGUAACAGCGUAAAUAAAAAAAAGUGCAGAGAAGCCCUUCCACCACCAUGUGUCUUUUUUCUCUCUUUUUUCACUCUCUCCAUAUUCUUUUUCUUCCUUCUCUUCAUCUAUUUUAAAAUCUGAUCGCACCAUGUUAUAAUUGAGAAGUUAAUGAACAUUUCUACCGAUCAGAUUUUCAAACAGAGCAAGUUCAUUUUUCUCUAAAGAUCAUUUGUUCUCUGUGUUUUCCUUAGGAUUUAAUCAUCAAUAUUGGUGGUGUUAAUUGAGAAGAGUAAUCCUCUCAAUUUAUUAUACUAUAUACUGAAUUUUUGUUCUCUUUGGAUAACUUGCAUUAGGCCCUUAAAUUUCGAAGUUUAUCCAGACUGGGAGGAUAAAAUUCUAGAAAAUGCUUGGAAAACAAGCAAUUAAGGUAAGAAAAACUAAAUUUAAUUUUUAAUAGCAUCCUAGGCUAGAAGAUCUUGAUGUGGAGGGGACGUGGUCUCAGUAUUCAAUUUUUCUUGUAGAGAUGUUGUGUGUUUAUAUAUUGUGUUGUUUGUUUAUAUAUUAUUUAAACUUGUAGAAAUAUUAGAUUUUGAUGGUUUAGUAUUUAAGUGUUGUUGUUUUUAUGUUAAAUAGGAUUUUGAACAUUGUGGAUUGUAUUUUGAAUAAUAUUGCAUGAUGAAAAUGGUAUGAAAUUCAAUUCAUACAUUUGGGAUCAUAUAUGGGUUGAUGUUUGUUGCGUAUUAAGUAUUGAUUCCUAUGUGGUAAUAUAGAUCUCCGAACUUCACUUAUUAUCUAAGUCACAUAGACUAAGAUAUUAGAUGGUGAGAAGCUAAUGGGGGAGUUCAUGCACACCGUGACAUAUAAGAUGCAUGACUUUGGUUGUAUUGUACUUAUCCUGGUCCUUUCUAUUGGAUUCGCUGAUAAUCUUUAUAUUAAGUGUUAGUCUCUGGUAGGACUUACUUAAUACGGGUCUUCCAAAAAGCGUCUCAAAUGUUAUUUGGUUUGUUGAAUAUCCUAGAUGUGUAGAUCCAUGUGAGAUCUAUGUGAUUGUUUUGUGUUGGGAUUUAAAGAAGAUUGAAUAAUUGAGAAAUUGAUUAAUGUAAUUUGGUUUUCUCUUUUGAUUUAAUUGUGCAUAUAAUUAUAUUUUCACUAGCUUACUCUUGUUUUUCUUAUUGUGUUUGAAUUGUGAUGACUAUACUACGUACACGAGCAAAUGAUCUCAUACAGGUGUCGGAGGGUCUGAAGAGCUUUAGGAUUUUGACUUGAAACUUAUAUUGUAAAUAUUUGUAUGUAUUAGGAAUGUUUUUGAAAAACUCUAAGUUUGUAUAUAAACAUAUAGAAUUUGUACAAUAAUAGUGAGAUGUAUUUCUUGGGUGUUACAAUAUUAUUUUCUAUAAUAUUAAUUACUUAAUAUUGAUAUUUUUAUAACACCGAUAGUUAAAGAUAACAAAUAAAUUAUUUUUUGUGCUGAAAAAUAUUUAAAUUAAUCAGACUUUAGUAUAUAAAUAUAACUAAUAUAUAAUGUUUUCAAUAAAAGAAAAACGAAAAUAAAUAUGUACAUAAUUUUGAAUUUUAUCUUCAUUUUAAAUUAUUAAAAUAUAUUUAAUUUAUUUCAUAUUUUAUUAUAUUUUAUCUUUUUUAUUUAUUUAUUCAUUUAGCAUCCAUCUCUUUGAUAUGAAUGAUCAUUUAUGGAAGGAAAAUAUUAUUUUGACAAUUGUAGAAUAAAAUAAAAAAUGCUCUAGUUUACUAAGUGAUAUAAUGUAAUUUUAAAAUUGUUUCAUUUAUUUACCUUUACAUUUCAUAAAAAACAUUUUUUUUAAAAUAAUUUGAUGGUACAGGAUCAAUACUUUUUCUUUAAUGAACAUGAAUAUUGAAUGACAUUGGCACCAACCAUUUAUUGUAGCACUUAUGCUCUCGAAUGUCUCAAAGCAGUUGUUUCAAUGGUCCACUUUACCACCCUACUUGAUAGAAUAUAUUCAUUUCUAUAGAAGUUACAUAGCACAUUCCUACUUCUUUGUAAACCAUCUCUAUAUAUUCCAAGUUUGUAACCAUUUUGCCACCAACCAAACCAAUUAAGAAACCUCACACUAGCUUCUUGCUAUUUAUCAUGGCACCCACCAUUUAUAAUUUUAAGUCUUUUAGAUCUUCAGGGUCAUUCCAUUAUUCAACACCAAAAACAGACUCCAAUUCCAACCUCCUUACCUUUCACUCAACGGAUAAAUGGAAUGCUCAUUUUAAAGCUGUCAAAGAAACUAACAAGCUGGUAUGUUUGUGUUUAUGCUCUUUAACUAGUAACAUAAUUAACUAAAAAUAUUAUGUUAGUUUUUGGUAGCCCCAAAUUCAAACUCACAACCUAUCUCUCUCCCUUUCACUUUUCCUACCAAGCUAACUUUAUAUCACCUUAUCACUCUCAUAAAGCUGGUUUUCCUAUUUGUCUGUUUUUGUUUUUGGUGCAGAUGGUACUUGAUUUCACAGCUACAUGGUGUGGACCUUGCAAACUCAUGGACCAAGUUCUCCAGGAUCUUUCUGCAGAAUACACAGAUGCUGAGUUCAUCAAGAUUGAUGUGGAGGAGUUAAACGUGUGUCACUCUUUCCCCUUUACUUUAAUUAAUAUGUUAGUUGAUGUCAAAGCAACAAUAUACUUAACAUCUAAAUGUUAUUCUUUAUUAGACAAUUGAAUUUCACCCAGUGAGAACUGAUUUAUAUUCAUGGUAUGAAUGAUAACAGGAAGUUUCUCAAGCACUCCAGGUUAACCAAUUGCCAACAUUUGUACUCGUUAAGAAAGGGAAAAUUGUUGAUAGAGUGGUGGGGGUGAAAAAGGAGGAGCUGAAAAGGUCGGUUGGGAAUCACAUCAAAUAAAUGAGUGAUUAUGCACUGUAAUAAAAUCAGAAAGGCUCAACACCACAUUCUGCCAUCACUAUUUCAAUGAAAAAACAAACUAUCAACAACUGAGUUUGAAAUAAACUGGUGUCAUCAUUUCACCAAAGAGAAAGAUAUUUGUUCUUUUACCAUUACAAGUGUACAAUCUACUAUGUUGCACGUAGUUGCCCUCGUUGCCCCUGUUUAGCAUACAAGGGCAUCUAUUAACAUAUAUCAAUAUUAUCCUCUUUAUUUUUUUUUUGUUAUUUGUGUUGGUGUUGAUGAAUAAAAUAGAACAAGAUAUUUUAUUAUCAAUAUUUGCGGUAACUGUAUCCUAAAUGUUUAUGAGCACUUUACUUAAAAAUAUUUAUUCAACAAUUGAAAUAAGAAAAAUAAAGAGUCACAUGCAGUUACGUGCAGUUACAAAAACACAAUAUUUAAUACUCCUCCUUGAUUUUUGAACUGCAAACUCCAAUCUUCUGUCUUAAGAAUUCAAACUUGCUAGCUGGAAGUGACUUGGUAAACAAAUCUGCAACAUUUUUUUUCUUUUCGCAGAUUCUGAAAGACUUUUGUCAAAGCCUAAACUAAGAAGAUAAUCAUCUAUUCGCCUAUAAACUUUGUCUUCUUUUUCUUUCCACAAUAAAACCUUUAGGUUGCUCAACAUAAAUUUCCUCUUUAAGAAAUUCAUUUAGGAAUGCUGACUUGACAUCCAUUUGAUGUACCUCUCUAUCUCAAGGUAUGUCAAAAAACUCUCAAGUUUUGUUCUUCUCAAUCAUAUACAACUCCUCCUCCAUUUCCUUUUUCCACUUUGGGUCAUUGAUAACUUCUAUGUGAUCAGCAGGUUUACAUAUUCCAACGUUACAUCUCUGAUAUAUGUCGGAGAGUAAUUGAGUGCCUUUAAUUGGUGGAUCAUCUUUCAUUUCAUAUUUUUGCAUCUUGAGAAGCCCUUGACCAAGCUUCUUGUGUCAUAACUCAGUAGUAUUUUUCUUUGUUGUUGAAAAUACUAUCUACUCCUCCUGAAAUAGAUCUAAUGAGAAACUUUUGCCUUUCAUUUUUACCUUGAACAUAUCUUGUCCUGUAGCAUCCUUGACCAAACAGUGGUUAUCUUAAAAAAAACACCUUGAAGCUUUUUUGUAGCAACUGACCAACACUUAAUAAAUUUUGGUCUAUGUUAGGUAGAUAUAACACAUCAGUAAUAGUUUUAGUACCUGAAUGUGUUGCUACAACAAUGGUUCCUAUUCCUUUUACUGGAAUGUGACCCCCAUGACCUAUCUUAACCUUUGAAAUUUUUGAAGGCUUCAUUCAUGAUACAAACCAAGACAACAAGAAGAUGACCAAGGAUGCAAACUAUGAAAGGUCAUCUCAACAUUCAAGUAAAGACCUCACCAGAGGGAGAAAUGGACAAAGACCAGAGCAUCUCAAGUUCUUCCUGCUGGUUUACUUAAGUAUAAAAAAUGUUGUAAAUAAUUUGAGCUCACUCUAGGGGUCCAAAUAACAAAGAUAGGCUAGAAUAAGGUGUCUUUAGAAUAAUAGGGGGUGUGGGUAGCAUUUUAGCUUGUUCCUAGCCCUUUUGGAAGACAUUUUGACCUAGUUUCUAGAAGGACAAGCCUAGGAUGUGGGUUGCCCAUUUUUUCCCUUUUCCCAUCCUACCAUUUUAGCUUGUUCUCCAAGACUCCUUCACCUAUAAAUAGGAGGCCUACCUAGUGUAUUUUUAAAAGUUGAAAUUAAUAGAAGAAGAGUUACUUUGCACAAAUUGUGUGAGGUGUUAGUGAGUCUUGAUUCUUCUUAGCAUUUAGGUCUUAUCUUGUGAGUAAUUGAGAGCUCUCAAGUGGCGGCUAGCAACACUUAUCUUGGAGGUCAACCACACUCCAAGUGGCGUGUUCCACUUCUCAAAUCCAUCACAUGAGCUUUCUCCUUCCUUCAUCUCUUCUUCCCUUUGUCAUUCCAUUUUUUACUUUUUAUGUUAUGUUCUUGCUUUGUUUCAUUCUUCCAUUCGGAAAUUCUUAUUUGGUUUGUCCUUUCAUGUUUUUUAAUUUCGCACCCAUUGGAAUCAUGUUCACCUUGUAAUUGUCUUUUCAUUUUGCUCUUGUGAAGAAAAUCUUCUCACUUACUUAACCACUUGGUUAAGUUCAUGUCCAGUGGGGAUCUUCUUAGAGUUCUCACCUUAUACUUGCCUAAAAUCUCAACCUAAGUAAAGUGUCACAUCAUAAAAUGAAAUAUCCUAAAAUCAACUCACAUCACUUCAACUCCUUGAAAAGUUCUUUGUCAUAGGUCAUGUGAUUUGUGCAUCCACUGUCAAUUAGCCAAGAUGCACUUGAAAUAUUUCUGGAGAAACCAGUUGCAACGAAAAUUUCAUCCUCCUCCUCAUUUGCAAUUUGAGCAUCUACAUCUUGUUGCUCAUUUUGGUUUCUACAAAUGAAUACUUCAUGCCAAAGUUGAUUGCACUUGAUGCACUUAGCAUCAGGUCUUCUCCAACAUUUGAAUGGUGGGUGGCCUUUCUUUCCACAGUGUUGGAAAGGUGGAUAGGUUUUCUUUUUAUUCCUGUUGUAACCUUGAUGCUUGGUUGUUAAGGCUCCUAUUGCUCCAUCUUGUCUCAUGACUCUUCUUUGUUCUUGUGCUUGUAAAGCAUUGAAGAGCUCUGCAAGAGAAAUCUUUGAUAGGUCCUUUGUGUUCUUCAAGGUUGUUAUGGUGGCUUCAAACCUUUCUGGAACGGUUACAAGCAAAUUUUCCACAAUUCUUGAAUCAUUUAACACAGAUCCAAGCAACCUCAAUUUGAUGGCAAUGCUUAGAAGUCUGUCAAAGUACUCUCUUACGGAUUUUGACUCCUUCAUUCUCUGCAAUUGAAACUCCCUAGAUUCAGCACUUGCAUUCCAUGAAUCUUCUCAUCACCUGUAUAUUCUGCCUUGAGAUAAUCCUAGAUUGUUUUUGCUGACUUCAAGAACAUUAUCCUUGUGAAUACCAUAAGAGAUACAACUGCAAAUAGGCAUGUUUUUGCCUUUGAUCUCUUCAUCUUCUUUUCCUUUUGUGAUUUUAUUUGUGCCACAGUAGGGUUUUUUGGAAGGGACUCAAUUUCAUAGUCUUCUUCUUCAGCUUCUCAUAGAUCCAAUGCUUUUAGGUAGGUCUCCAUACUAACAACUCACAUCUGAUAAUUGCCUCCAUCGAAGACUAGUGGUGCCAUUACAAAAAAAUUGGACCCUCCUUCCAUUGGUGCACUCUACUAACCACACAUAUCCCUCAAGAAGAUAGUUUGUAUACCAAUUAUUGGUGUUGAUGAAUAAAACAGAGCAAGAUAUUUUAUUAUCUUUGCUAACAAUUAACUUAUAAUACUUACACUAAUAGUCUCCUAAAUGCUUCUGAGCAGUUACAAAAACAUAUUUUCUAACAAUUUGACUCUCCUCAUCAAAAUCCUCUAACUACUCAUUUUAUUGUUCGACUUCUCUCACAAGAAAAAAAAAACAAAAUAAUAAUACUCCAACUGUCAGCUUAAGAAAAGGUUCUACAAGAUAGAAGGCAAAAUUUGAAAGAGAAAUGAAGGGGCCAAAAUGAAUGGACAUUGAUACACGAAAGAUUCUAACUAAAAUAAAGAAACACCUUUAGAAAAGUCACUUUCAAACUAAUCGCAUCAUAAUAAACAAGACACUUUUGUAUUUAACUGAAACCAGCCAAUGCACAAAUUGGUGGGAUGCAGUGAAGUAUGAGUUGCCUAUAUAAAAAUAACAUGAUAUCACCUACAACUAAAAUCCUUAAAGUUAUGCUUUUGUAGAUAUUUAUGUCAUAUCUAUUCAUUUCUCAUAUCUAUUUAUUUCUAUUCAAUUCAAUUCAACUCAAUGUGAGACUUCAAGUCAUACUAAAAAUCGUAACACAAAUAGCUAUACUUCAUUUCCUUUACUUGUUUAUAGGAGACAGAGUAAAAAUACUCCAAAACUGUAAAAGUAUCCCUAUAUACACUUGUUUCCAAAGCUACAUGUAUGAUAUAGCAUAUAGCAACUAUACUUGGUUUAUUUGUCAUAUGCACAAACUUCCUGUAGAUUGGUGGAGUUGCAAAACAGUUUACAGUGUAAUUAUUUUUUCUUGUUAAAGGAUAUUUACAGCUAUUAGUCUCAAAAUAUUGGUUUAGUAAUGAACAGCACUAAGAAGAAUCCUUCUUAGACCAGACUUUUGUUGCGUGGUCAGUCUUGAUGGAAACGCAACAUCAAACUUGAUUCUGAGGUUUCCUUUCUUGCCAGGUUCCUUUGAGAUGGGCAUACCUUCAUUUGAGACCACUAGCUCAAAGCCUGGUCUCACAAUAUCAGUCACUUGGAUUGUGAGAUCUCUUCCAUCCAAUGUAGUCAAGUUAAAAGUCUUUCCUAUUAGAGCCUCUACAAGUGAUAUCUUCUGGAUCACUACAAGAUCAUUUCCAUCCCUCUUGAAAAUAUCAUGAGGUCUCUCAUCCAAAACAAAAAUUAGAUCAGUUGGAGCACCACCUGGUUCUUGGUUGCCUUUUCCAGGAAAAGUGAUUUUUGUACCCUUCUUCCAACCAGGUUUAAUAUUUAUCUUCAAGAUUUCUUCUACAGACUUUGACACUCUGCCAAAACAAAACAAUAGGGCUCCUAAUGAAAUUGAAAUGAGGAGGCAAAAAGUAGAUAGAAUGCUUCAAAUUAUAAGUUGGUAAAAUUAGAUGCAAAUAGCCAAGUUCAACAGUAAAUAAGUCUGAUUGAAACAAGCCUAUCAACAUUUUUUACAAAGCAAAUAAAUUCUCCUUCUUUGUCUUCACUUGUUGGCACAGAACGGAUGAAUGUUUAUGGAUGUGUUACUGCACUAAGUGCACGAUCAAACCAAAUAAGCGUAACGCCAAAAUAAAAAACAUACCAAAACAACAGCGAGUGUAGAAUCCAAACAUAAUAAUGAUAAAAACAACUACAAUAAUAACGAAAACAAAACACAAAGGACACAGUCAUAGUAUGGCCACGGGGUCAUACCAACUACUCUGUAAACUAUCCCAGCUUUAUGGAGCAAAAAAACACAACAUAUUUGCCUUAUAAUACAAUUCCAUCUUAGCAGCAAAACUUCAUUUGUUUAUGGUUACAUGUAAUACAAAAGCGAUCAAUUUUCUAUACUAGAAAUAUUUCAAAUUCAAAAUGCUUGGCGUUGUAGCCAACACAGACUUCUUGGUUACCUAAAGUUUCAACUCUAGUUAAAAACAACACCAAAACGCAAGAAACUGCAUGUAAGUAAUGUCCUCUAAAAAUAACCUUCCAAUACUCUAAUUCAGGUAAUGUAAAAGCAAAUCAUGCAUCAUAAUUCUACCACAGGAAUCACAAUCUCUACUUGCAAUGAAGUAACAACAUUACCAAUGAGAAUACAAGGGAGAUAGUUACCCGAAUUCAUCAGGAACAGUCCUUGAGACCUUCAACUUCUUUUUGCAUCCCUUGUAAAGCUCCACAAGGGUACAAGUCAAGCUGCUUUCAACCACCCCUGCUUCCUUCAUAAUCCCAUUACCAUGUUCUUUGCUGAAGCGUUGAGAGUUAAGGGGAUAGUGACCGUAUAGAUCAUAGAUCUGGCGCUUCUUGGGGUCAAUGAGCACAUCAUAGGCCUCAGCAACCUGCUUGAACUUGGCUUCAAACUCUUCCUUCCUAAGCGGGUCUUCAAGGUUUUUAUCCGGGUGCCAUUUCAUGGCCAAACUCCUAUAAGCCCUCUUCACCUCUUCAUUAGUGGCAUCACGUUUCACCUUCAGUAUCUUGUAGUAGUCACCAGCACCCAUUUCAACACAACACGAACAAAAACCGAGUUCUGCUGAAAAUCAGAGCUUUGUGAGGGGAAGAAAUUUUGUAUGCUUUUGUAAAGGACUUUGUGUAAGUGGCUGCAAAAGGGUAGGUAAGUAUUAGAGGAAAUCACGGUUUUUGGAAGAGAUUUAAGCGGAGAUAAGCACUGAAACAGAGUGAUGACAAGAAACAGCACCAGAUGCGUACUUUCAAUUGUUGAGCUUUGCUUUUCUGUUAUCUAUUUUAUCUUUUUGAAUUACAUGAUUGGGAGAUAGUUGAUUGUUGUUGUAGUUGAUUGAUGUAUAUGUGCAGCAAAAUGCGUGAAUUAUACGGAAAUAAUAGUUAUUGGAGAGAAUAAUAGUGAUAAUAGAUAGUGGCAAGUCAAAUUGAAAUCUUGGUUGAGUGUAAAGUUAAAAUUGUUACAUAUACACAAUACUGAUAUGAAUUACUUUAAGUAUUUUGUGGGCACAGUUUGUUUAUCAUCAUUGAUUUUCUCUUUCAGUAUUGAAGGUUUUGCUUUUUAUUGCAUGAAAGCUACUCUGAAAUAUCUAGUGUAGAUGCUAAGCGUUGAAUGAUUGAAGUAUAGUAACAGUUAUGACUAAGACUAGAGCUGCUUUUAUUUAAAGCAAAGUAUAUUAUUUAUCUGAUAUUUUAAACAUAUUCUGGGACCACAUAAAUCUUACUAUUUGAGACUUCUUUUUAUAAAAAAAUAUAAUAACAUAUUAAAGUGUGUUGACUUAUAUAUAUAAAAAGAGAGAGAUAUUUAGAAAUAGAGUGUUGUACUUUGAAAUCACAAUCUAUCAUUUUAAGUAAUAUUUUUCUUAGUAAUAUUAAAGAGAAUUGAGUGAAUUAUAUAUAAAACAGUGUAUAAAAUUGAAAUUGAAAUUUGCAACUAACACUUUUCUGAUAUGAAUUGUAUAUGGUGGAGUCAAAGCACACGUAAAUAACCCAGUCGGCAGAGAGUAGGGUACACGCUUUAUUUGGAAUUUCUUUUCUUAUUUAUCGACUUGGUUUUCCACUUUUUUCCUUGUAGUGCACCCCAAUAAACAAGCAGAAUUUUUUAAGAUACGUAUUUUUCAAACAAUGAUAUUAAAUAUAAAAUACUCCUCUAUGUUUCAAUCUCUGUAAUUAAUAUAUUCACGAAUCUUACAUCUUGUCAACAACUAUUAUAAGAGAAUUUCAAGCAAGAAUAUUUCUUCCUUUAAAUUUGAGAUAUUUGAAUUUAGAAAAUAAUGAAAAUUUUACCAAUUGUUGUACUUUUUCCUUGUUUACGUAUUCAUAUAUAACUUUCCUUCUUGCAAGGUAUCAAUUCAAUUUACAAUACCAAAGUAUUAAUUCUCGAUAUUGCAAAAUUAAGCCUAGCUUCAGGUAGUGUUCAAAAUUGGGUUUUUUGUCGCAGUGUAGUAUAAUUUUAAAUAAAAAGUUCACGAAUGGGGAGAUAUUUUUUUUUCGAAAAUGGGUAAAUAUUAUAUGGAUUAAAAUGGCCAAACGUAAGAUACGAGAUUUGUAAAAUAAAAACGAAUUCAAUCUAAACCAGUAAAUGGAAUAUACGUUUUUAAUUAAAAAAAAUAGAAUCCACAGAAGCAAAAAAUUAAAAUAUAUAAGAAAUCGUAUUACAUUGUAAAUGCUUUUAAGAUUUUCUUUAUUAUAUAUAAUUAAAGAAAAAUAUGUUUUUAUAAAAUAUUUUUUUAUUAUAUAUAAUUAAAGAAUGGUUGAAUGAAUAGGUUUUUAUAAAAAUAAAAUUAUUAUAUAUAUACUACAAGAAAAUCAUCAAAUACAAAUAGACGGUACUGUGGGAAAACCUGGAGUAUGCGAGACUCCAAGUUCGCUUGCUCAAAAAUUGUAAUGCUAAAGUGGCUAAAAGUAUGAGGAUUAAUGGCCAAAUGUUGAGCAUCUACAUUGAAGAAGAACACCCUACAAAAUUUGGAGGUCGGUGUAUGUGCCAUCGGAAUUUUUUGAUUCCUCCGAUAGCAUUUCUUCAUUAAAGACCUACGUUGAGGAAAUGGCGCAGUCGGUGUCAAGCGGCGAGGUGGAGGUCAUGGGUGGACGGGUAGAUCGCCGACCAGAGGAGGAGAUGGAGGGAGGGGAGGUCCUGAGUGCGAAUAGGACAAAAUGGUUGUAUUCUAAGAUACCUGUUAUCAACAGAAUUGAUGUUUAGAGAAAAGAACCCUUGGUAUUCACUAAAGAGUAAACUGAGGGCCAGAAGAAGUCUGCGGAGGCUGCUGCGUUAAACCAAGAUGAACAAGCAUAUUCAGUACCACAAAAUUACCAUCAUGUGCAUGAUGAGCUGGCAAAGUUGGUGAUGGAUAUAGAAUGUAGCGGUACCCAUAAUGCACCUUUGGGCUAGGAGGGGAAUCACGAGGCCCACUUCAGGACUGGGGGCGAUCCUGGAGAGCAUCGAACACAAAGAGCUGGUGCGUUCUCUAGUGCCAGGAAGAGUGCCUUAGAGGAGGAUGGCGGUGGCAAUCAGGUACGAAACUUGGAGACACCUAAUUGUGAGGCAGAAGGAAAAGGUGAAGACAGUUGGUCAUAUAACCCAAACCCUAAUCUCGUGGUGACUUGGAAUAACGGAGGGUUGGAACUGCAUAGCUUGCUCGAACCAGAGGAAGGCGCAGUGGGAAGCUCGUGCAAUAUACCUUCACGGCGGUGCAUGAUGAAAGAUCUUUGUGAAUUGGUGGAGCCAAGAACUCAUCCUAGGCGACGUCAGAUUGAGUGAGAGAUUGUCUCAGGCUAGGAAGGACCUGCUGCCAAGUGAAGACUUACCAAUAAUUUCCAUUUCAGAUGGGGACAUUAGCAAUUGUAAUGCCUGUGUGUGCAUCUCUGGAAAUAGGGAGGAGCUUGCAAAUUUAUGGGGCCUUGGUAAGCAAAUUGGGCUCGCUUGUCGUCGGGAGGAAGAGGAGGUGGUCCAAGAACUUCAAUGUAUGGAAGAAAGAGAUAUGGAGUUCACGAAGAAAUUAGAGGUGGGUAAUCUAAAAGAUUUUUAUGCUGAUAUUUAAUUUAAACAUAAGAGGUCUAGGGGGAGGAACGAAAGCAAGAUAUCAGAGAUGGUGCAUAUCUACAGAGGGGGUAGAAUUUGUGUGCCUCCAAGAAAUAAAAAUUGCCCAACUCACGGAUGCUAGGUGCUUUUCUUUAUGGGGGGAUAACAAUAUUGGUUUGAUUCAUAAUGGUGGGGAUAACGGUAAUGGAGGUCUUUUAUCUUUGUGGCACAAAGAAGCUUUUAUCUAUGAGAGUCAUAUCAUGGGGAAAGGGUAUAUAGUUAUUAUGGGCCAACAUAAGAAGUUUGUCCAAAGAUGUUGUGUGGUUAAUGUGUAUGCGGGGUGCACCUUGAAAGAAAAGAAACUACUCUGGGAGGAACCGUCUAUCUGUAAAGAAGCUUUUCAUAUUGCAAUGUGGUGCUUUUGUGGGGACUUCAAUGCAAUAAGAAGUCGAGCUGAAAGGCAGGGGGCAAAUAGAGGUGAUUUUAACAGUGAGAUAAAGGGCUUCAAUGAGUUCAUUGAAUCAAGCAUGUUAUUGGAUCUGCCCAUUGUGGGGAAAAAAUUUACUUGGUUCAAAUCGAAUGGAACGACAAGGAGUAGGAUUGAUAGAGUUCUUGUAACUGAAGAAUGGUUGCAAUGUUGGCCUAUGUGAAAACAGUAUGUCCAACGGAGGGAAGUCUUUGACCACUGUGCCUUGAUGAUCAAGUGUUUAGAUAAGGACUGGGGUCUCAAACCUUUUAGAACAAUUGACGCUUGGCACUUGGAACGAGGCUUUGAUGGGAUGGUGGAGGAAAGGUGGAAAUCAUACUUGAACCAAGAAAAUGGUAUAAUAGGGCUUCAGGAAAAGUUCAAACUCCUAAAGACUAACUUAAAAACAUGGAAUAGGGAUGUCUUUGGGAAUCUGAACUCUACCAAGAGGACUAUUCUACAGGAUAUUGGGAACCUUGAUCACCAAGAUUGUAAUGGCCAAGUCGCGAAAAGUGUGAGGCGGAUUAGAAUCGAUCUACUAAGGAGGCUCUGGGAGACAGACUGAAAGCUAGAAUCUCUUCUUCGUCAAAAGGCUAGAACCAACUAGCUUAAAUAUGGUGAUUCUUGCUCAAAAUCCUUUCAUUCAUCACUAAGGUGGAGGAGACUAAGGAAUGAAGUGAAGGGAGUUGAGGUUGGGGGUUGUUGGUGUGAGGAGUUUAACACUGUCCGUUUUGAAACAAAAAAGCUUUUCGAAGCUAGAUUUAAAGCAAUAAAAGAUUUCGGGGUUAGACUUGAUGGGGUUGAAUUUAAAUCCAUCUCGAUAGUAGAAAGCUUGCGGUUGAUAGAAGUUUUUUCUGAGGAAGAAAUUAAAGAAGUUGUGUGGCAAAGUGAAGGCUCAAAAAGUCCUGAUCCAGAUGGAUUCAAUUUCAACUUCAUUAAAAAAAGUUGGAACUACCUUAAAGCAGAUUUUGUAGCAGCCUUGGAGGUUUUCCAUCAAACAUGAUAUAUCCCGAAGGGGUGCAAUGCAUCAUUUAUUGCACUUGUACCCAAAGUAAGGGACCCCUGCAAGCUCGAUCAAUUCAGACCUAUCUCGUUAGUGGGGGCCAUAUACAAAGUCAUAUCUAAAGUGCAAACGAAAGACUAAAGAAAGUUCUACCUUCUAUCAUAAAUGAAACCCAAUUAACAUUUAUAAAGGACAGGGGCCUGGUUGAUAGUGUGCUACUGGCAAAUGAGGUGGUUGAGGAACUCAAGAGGAAGGGGAAAAAAGGCCUAUGUAUGAAGGUAGAUUUUGAAAAAGUGUAUGAUUCAGUUAGAUGGGAUUUCUUGUAUGACAUGCUAGGUAGGAUGGGUUUUCACAGUACAUGGUUAAAAUGGAUUAGAGGAUGUAUGGAAUUAGCCACAGUAUCAGUACUAGUGAAUGGGAGCCCUACGGAGGAAUUUAGGUCGUCAAGAGGGUUGAGACAGGGAGACCCAUUAACACAUUUUUUGUUCAUUAUAGUGGUUGAAGGCCUUGCAGGAAUAGUAAUGCAAGCAUUAAAAGCCAACAUCUUGUCUAGGGUCAAGAUUGGGAGUAAGGAGGUAGAGGUGAGCUUUCUGCAAUUUGCGGAUGACACACUCUUCUUUUGUGAGGAAUCCUGGAGUAAUGUCAUCAUUAUGAAGACUAUCUUAAGGGGUUUUGAACUAGCUUCCGAUUUGAAAUUAACUUUCACAAAUCAAAGUUAGCAGGUAUCAACGUUCAGAACCAUAAUCUUAUUAGCUACUCAAAGAUCCUGAAUUGUUCCCAGAUGGGUCAUCCGUUUAAAUACUUGGGUUUAGAAGUAGGAGGCAAUCCAAGGAAGAAAUCGUUCUGGGAACCUGUUUUGAAUAAAUUGAAAUCUAGACUAAGUGUGUGGAAGGGGAGGUUCUUAUCGUUGGCAGGUAGGAGUUAUUUCAUUAAGUCUGUACUCACCACAAUCCCUCUUUUUUACCUGUCAGUGUUCAAGGCACCGGAUUCAGUCUACAAGAGUAUUAUAAGCAUCCAAAGGAAAUUUCUAUGGGGGUGGGAAAAGGAGAAAAGACCAAUAUCAUGGGUAAGCUGGGGCGACUUGUGUAAACCGAAGGAAGAUGGAGGUUUGAGGCUCAAGGACAUCAGAAAGUUUAACUUUGUUCUCCUAGCUAAAUGGAGAUGGCAGUUCAUCUCUCAAGAGAAAGGGAAGUUGAACGAGGUGCUACAUUAAAAGUAUGGUGCAAAGCUAGAAUGCCCUCUUAUUCCAGCGAAGCACCAAUCGUGGUGGUGGAGGGACAUAGUUAAGGUUUGUAAGGAGGGAGGAAAAGAGGGGUGGUUCCAAGAAGAGUUGCGGUGGAAACUAGGGAAGGGAGAUAAAGUUAGAUUUUGGGAAGAUGUGUGGGUUGGUGAGUCAAAUCUUAAAACAUCGUUCCAAAGGUUGUUCUCAUUGUCAACUAAUCAGGAGUAAAAGGUAGAAGAUGUAGGUGAGUGGGAGGGAACAAAUUGGCGGUGGAGGCUACUGUGGAGGAGAGACAAGUUUGAGUGAGAAGCUGAGAUGGAAGAGAAACUUAAGGAAUGCAUAGCUAGGGCCUCUAUGAAGAGAAACAUGAAUGAUAUCCAAGUGUGGGGGGACGAGGCCUCUGAGAAGUACACGGUGAAUGCAGCAUAUGAAUGCCUAGCCAAGCAAACGAGAGGUAUGCGGCAGGCUACUUUCGAGAUUAUUUGGAAAGCUAAAGCAUUACCUAAUGUGCUGACAACAGCUUAGAGAGUUCUCAUAGAUAUAAUCCCAAUAAGGGAGGGGCUCUGUAAAAUAGGAGUGCAGAUGAAUUCAAUAGUAUGUGUUAUGUGUAUGAUCAAGGAGGAAUCAUGUCAGCAUUUGUUUAUAGAAUGCAAAUACGCUCAACUUGUUUGGUCUUUAUGCCUCAAUUGGUUGGGCAUCAAGUUUGUACGACACAAUGAUCCAAAGAUUCAUUUUGAGAGUUUUCAUUGUGCUUAGGCCAGCUAUAAGAAAAAUUUGGUCUGGAAAGGUGUAUGGGCAGCCAUUGUAAGGUGUAUUUGGGACCAGAGAAACUCUAUCUUGUUUAAUUAAGGAGUAGUAAAUGCACAUGAAAUCUUUCAGAUGGCCCAACUAAAAGUGUGGUCAGGGUUGAAACAUAGAUCCAGAUCCCUUGAUUUCUCUUAUGCAUAAUGGAUUCUUAACCCGGUUAUAUGUAUAAGUAGCAACAAAUAAUAAGGAGUGAGUGGCAGAGGGGCAGAGGGAGAUUUUACGAGCUUUAGUGAACAAGUGUAAGGGCAAGCGGAGCCUUAUGGUUUUGCCUAAGUCUAGUUGGGACUAAGAAGAGGCGGGUUACAUCAACAGAUUGUUGAGUUAUGGGUGUGAAGUGGGUACAGGUACAUGUGCAGCAAAAGGCGUGCGACAGUUGAGUAGGAGGCCAAAGGAGAGGAGGGAUGUAGCUGCUGGUUGGAACGAGUUAAAGCAGGGUUAGGUUGGCAAGUGCAGGAUUCUCUCAAAUCAUCAUUACUAGUUGAUUGGCUGAUGUUGCAUCAAGUUUUGACAAUGAGGACCUAACUGGAAAAGUUUGGCAGAAUGUAAGACUGGAUGGUGCUUGGUUAUGAGGAAAGGCACGCACAUCAGUGUGGCGGAUACAGAGCAUAGAUCACAGGAGCAUUGACAGAUAGGCAGUAGAAGAUAUAAUAUUGAUAAAAGUGUAUUGGCCCUGGUGGAAGAUAUACUGGUUGGUGCUUAUAGGUGGAAAUCAAGGCUUAAAUUGAUGGCUUUUUAAGUGGAGUUGUUGGAUCCAGUUUGGCAGCUACAGGGUGCAGGUUGGGGGAGACGCAUGGUUUUUUUUUUUGUAGUACAAAAGGUAAAUAUGACUUGCUAUCUUAGACUAGUAAUGUGGUCGUUUUGUUAUAGCUGAAACGCAUUUUGGUUUACCUGGAAGGUACUGAUGGUAUGUGAAACAAGUAGCAUUUACUUGGCUUAUUGCAAUUAAGGCAAUCCAAGUGAAGUUUGGGUGGAGUUUUGUUGGUUGCUGGUUUUAUGCAGGUGUAAGGACUUGUUAGGUUGUAGCUUAUGGUUUUUUAUUCCUGUUAGAAGUAAUAGAAACUGUUUUCUUUAGCUGCUAUUUUUAUGGGUUGUUGUGUGCUAUAUGGUCAGUGUUCAGCUUGGCUGAUCUGGUUUAUGAUAAUAGGAAUGCAGGAGUGCUCUUGUAGUAUUUAUCUACUUUUGAACUUGUUUUUUUUAUACGGGCAAAAGUGGUCCCCUUUAUUAAUUUAAUUCUUUGUUGAUAAAAAAAAACAAUUUUAGAGACAAAAAAUAAUUAGUUAUUAUAUUAACUAAAUUAUAGACAAUUUUAGAGACUAAAAAAAAAUUGGUUUCUAAAUUAGUUUCUAUUACUGUUAAAUAGUUUAUAAAUUGGUAUCUAAUUAGCUACCAAGGUUUUAACUACCAAUUAUUUAAAUUCUAAAUUUGGUAGCAAAAACAUUGGUCCCUAAUUAGAUACCAAUUUAUAAACUAUUUAACAAUAAUAGAAACUAAUUUAAAAACCAAUUUUUUUUUUUAGUUUCUAAAGUGAUUUUUAAUUUAGUUAAUAUAACAACUAAUUAUUUUUUGUUUCUAAAAUUGAUUUGUAUUUAAUGAUUUUCUUGUAGUGAUAAUUAAAAAAAUAAAUAUACUUUUUGAUAUUUAAUACAUUAAAAUUAUUUUAAAUUUUUAAUAAAAUUAAUGAUGUAAUAUCUUAAUAUAAAAAAAAUAUAAUUAAAAUGUUUCACAUUCAUCAUAAUUUGCCGUCAUAUACAUUCACUGAUUCAGAUCAAUGUCACACUCAUACAUAUUUCUUAGAGUCGACUUUAUGCAUUCACACGUCAUCCAAUGAUAUUAGAUAGAAAGUAAAUUGUUUAGGAAGGUAAUAUCUUGACAUUCUUCUAGAAAAAAACACUCAUUUAAUAAUUAAUUUUAAUUAUAUAUUUGUAUUUGUAUUUUAAAUUAUAAUAUAUUUUAUUAUAUUAUUAAAGUGAGUUAUAAAUUGGAAGUUUAACUUUUCAAAUUAUCAAUUUGUUUGGGUAUGGAUGUAGUCCUUAGAAAGAGAGUUAUUUUAGACUUCUCUUCCUGCACCUUUACAUUUUUCUUCCUGCACCCCAACAAUUUUAAAAUUCCUAAAUUGACCUUGACCUAUUAUUUGAAAAGGGGUACUGGAGUUUCUUUGCCACUGUUCAUCUUCUUCAUUCAUAUCAGGUGUUGGUGCAAGGUCUUUGUAGUUGUGCGGAACAAGGUGACGGAGUAGGCUAUGUUGUCGAAAUGUUGCUUGGGUUCUAAAGAUAAAAAUUAAGUUUUUUUUAGAAUCAUUGAUGAUUAUGGAGUUUUUGUGGUUCCUGAAAACCAGGAUUGAGUAAUGUGCUACGGAUUCAUCAAUCCGGAAUUGAAUAAUGUACUACGGAUUCAUCAAUCUGGACUAUUACUGGAAGCAGCAAUAUGAAAUAUUACCAAAACUACCAAUCUGAAAGGAUUUUUGUGGAUUCCAUAAUCUGGAAUGUGAAAAAACAUAUAUGAAUUCUUUAUUCCAUAAAACUACCGGAUUGCAUUAUCUGAGAUAUUAUAGAUUAAGUGUGGAAACGAAAAUCCGAAAAAAAAUAGAAGUACAUAUCCAAAAACCAUAAAUUUACUUACCUUCAAGUUGUUAAGAUCACCCAAAAUCUGGACACUGGGAGUUGCGGCUGUGCUGGAAAGAAGAAAAUGAAAGUGAGAGUUUUAGGUUUUUAGGAAUUAGAGGCAUUUUAGGGUUUUUAAAAAAUAAUAAGAACAGUUUAGUCUUUACAUAACAUUAUGGGGGUGCAGGAAGAAAAAUGUAGGAGUGCAGGAAAAAACUGCCUUCUUUUAGUUCUUAAGCUGAAUCAACCCACUUAUGUUCACUUCAAGGCUUUUGCUUUCUGUACCCCUGAUUUUUUAACAUACACCCUUGUAAUUGGGUGAAAUGAUUUAAUUGUCUUCUAUCUUCUUCUCCUUCAAUGUCCGUCACCAUUGUCGUCACCCCUGCACCAUCAUCGUUGUAGAAGAAUAAGAAGAAUAAGAGAAGGAGAACAGUGCAGAAGAAGAGCCAAAAAAAAACUCGUUUUGAAAUGUUUUUUUCUAGAACACAUCUCAUGUUUUCCAGAAAGUCCUUUUCAGAACAUAUUUCAUAUAUUUUAGAAAACUAAAUUUUUUAUUCUGGAAUGCUCUUUCGAAAGUUGAAGUUGCUGAAUAGGGCUAGUAGUUUAGUUUUUUGUUAUUCUGCUAACAAUUUCACGUGCAACACUUACCAAUUUCAAGAAAAUUCUCAUACUAUGAAUUCCAUAAGACAAUCUCCUUCCUAAUUUUUUUCAAAAAAAAAGGGAAAAAUUAAUCAUUUUUACGUCGUGUUUCAAUUCUUUUGUCUAUUUCUAUUAAAAUAAACUAAUGGGUGGGCAAGAUCAAUUGCAAGAAGUACAAAAAAGUUUACCUGCCUAAAUUUUCUCUAGUUUAAAUCCAGUGAUUAGGGAGUGGAGGAAUAAUUACUAUAAUAAAUAACACGUAAAUCACCCAUUAAUUAACCCCAAGUGGAAGGAUAAGUUAUUAAGGAUAUUUUAGAAAACAAUAGUUGAUAAAAAAGUAAUAAGAAUUGAUCUUAUACAAAAUUUAUUGUUGGAAUAUAUAAAAUGUAUUUUCAAUAGUUUUUUAUGAACAAAUCAUCAUCGGCAUGGCCACCGACUAAACGCGUCAAAAAUACAUUUAAAACAUUAAAUGGCAGGUGGUGAGAGUUAUGGAAAUGCCCUACGAAUUAGAGUCAUGUUCCAUCAAAUCCGAUUGACACCUCGAGAACUCAGUUAACCUUGAUUUAUUAAAGAUAUCAUCUAAAUAUAUCUUCCUAUAAAUCAAGUAAUCAUACUAGAAAUCAAUUAAUACUGAUAUUUGAUAGAUUCAACUCAUCACAACAAAAGGUCUAUGACUAAACACUAUAAAAUAAACCUUGUACAUAGGUGUAAGGUACAUUUUCAAUCAAUUUUCACUAUACAUUUUUAACACAUAGUACUUACUUGAUCGUCGAAGUACUUUUUGCAUGACAACUUCGACCAAGUACAAGCAACUAAAUAAUAAGGAGAUUUGAAGGAAGGAGGAGGGAGUGAUUAGUCGACUGACACGUCAACAAUUGUACAACCAAUUUCAGAUACUAUAUAGACCCACUUUAUUUAUAUAGACCCACUUUAUUUAUACAAUUACAAUAGACUUUUAAUUCAUCUCAUAUGAUUUUAAAAACAAUCUUCAUUUAAUUUCUUAACCAAUACCCAAUUGUGACUUGGUGGAAACACACAUUUUUGCUAUCUGAAAUAAGUUAAUGAAAAUAUUGUAUUUUCCUAUAUAAAGGUAACUUGGACUAAAACAUUUAAAAUAAUUUAUGAUAAUUCUUUUCCAAAUAAAUGUUAUAAAAUAAAAUUUCACAACCAAUCUCUACGCAACCUUGUGAAACUAUAAGUCAAAACCUACAUAAUUAGAUAGGGGAUGUAAUACCCGUGCUUACAAUCUAUAUUCAUUUUAUAAGAAAGUUUUAAGUUAAUUAGGUUUUUGAUUCUCAAGUAAGACUCGAAUUUAUAUGUUUAUGAAAUCUGAGUCAUAUUUAUCACCUAGAACAACAUUAGUUAAUUAAACUAAAUAAAUGUUUUUUAUACAAAUGUUCAGUAAAAUUUGUUCACUUUAUUAAAUAAUGUAUGUAUGUUGGUUGUAUAUGCAUGCAUUUAAAUCCUGAUAUGAAAUCAUAUUCUUCGUUAUUCAAAAACUUGAAAUCUUCCUUAGAGUAGUUAGAUAACUGAAUUUGAUGAUAGAUAUUAUGAUAUCAGGAUUUGCUUCUGAAACUUCAAGAGGAAUCUCCCUAUAAAUGAAAAAGCAAUUCAAGUCUAAAAGGAGACUCCAAUACAAAUAAUGUUAUUUGAAACCACUCAAGCUUACCAGAACAAUUAUAAACAAGAUGUUGAAACCAAUGAGUUAGAGUAUAUAAAAAAAAGUAUACACAAUCAAAGUAAAAACCCAAUAAUCCAUAUUUGAUUAACAGUUGUAAGCAUUUGUUCCAAUCUUAUAAACCGACUUAUAAUACGAGGUUAGGGUUGAUAAUGUUAGAUGGGCCGGUCCGUAGCCCACUAAAAAAUGCAGGACAAGUUCACUAUUUUGGCUCGACAACCCACUUAGGUCUAUCCCACAUAACUCGUAACUCGCACGGGUCAAGCAUAGGGUGGGGCGUGCUAGCUUGCUAGCUUGCUAGCCUGCAUGAAAAUAAAAAUAUUUUUUUUCAGCACCUCAUCAAAUUUCUUUCUGCAUCUCAUCAAUUCUUGAAAUCAAAUUUCGGAAGUCAAAAUAGUUGUUCCAGAUUUUGAAAGGAAAAAUAAUUAUUUCGGAAAGGUUAUUCUGGAACUAUUUUUUUAUCUUCUAAAUUUUCAUUUAUGGAAUUCACUUUUAUAUUAUGGAAAUUAAAUUUUGAAAUUGAUGAGGUGCAGAAAGAAACAUCCUAAUAAAAAAUACAAUUUUUUCUUAUACGAGCUAGCCCACCAGGCAACUCUUAUGCUAGACGAGCCAGCAAAUUCAACCCGUAUCACUUUUGCAGGGCGAGCCAACCUGUAUUUUUACCCCUAUGUGAGGUUUAUGUUCACUUAUAUACUAUGAAAUAUCCUUACCUUUAGUCGAUGUGAGAUCUCCAACACAUCCCCUUGUGCGACUAUAUAUUUAUGGGUGUGCCGAUAACGGGUGGCUUGAUAAGCCCAACAAACUUUCGCUAUGAUAGACUUUAAAAUGACUCUUAUACCAUAUUAAGAAAUGGACUUUAAACCUAACUCAACCUUAUAAAACUAGGUUAUAAGAUGAGACUUUCACUCACUUAUAUAGUAUGAAAUGUCCUUAUCUCUAGUCGAUGCAUAAUCUUCACUAAUGCAUUUGUUGAUUAACAACAAAUUUUGAAAAGAAGAAUCUGAUACGUUAUCGUGUGGUUGCGCACGUGGGAGGGAUUUAUGUUAGAGAAAAUAGGCAACACAAUUUGCCCCCUCAUGUUCCACAUUCUAGUAUUUUCACAAGCUCAUUCAAACACACUUGGAGUUUCCAUAUAUUUUGGAGAAAACAAUGACAAAGAGUUUUUCCUCCUCAAUGACAUUAAGAAGAGAGGAGGAAAUAUUUUCUCAUCUAUGAAGAUUGUAGUCAAUGUAUAUGUUUUGUUGGAGUCUGGUAAAGGAGACAUGAAGGUGGGCAAUGAAAGUGUAACGCAUGUCCUCGCCUCUGAAGUUGAGGAACACGUCGUGGUUUUCAUGAGUGGGUCCAGAGAAAAAGGUUGACCAUGCCAUGGAUAAAAGGGUUUGGUGGGAGUUUUUCUUAAAGGAUUUAACACUCGUUGACUAUGUGAAUAUUGUUGGGUUCAAUAGUGUCAAAGUUCAAGAAGGGGUGAAUUGACCUUUUAAAACUUUCUCGCAGAUUCAAGUUUUAUCACAGUAUACAGAAAAUAAAUCGAUUUAUUUAGCAAUGAACAGAUUUAUUUUUACACUAUUUAUGUAUUAAAACGUUUAUACCAGUCAAGUAAUUCUUGAAAUUAUGCAAAUUGAUUUGCAAGCUAUACACACACUGAUUUUAAGAGGAUAUUAUGUAAAACAGAAUCAGUGACCUUCAAUUUUUUAAGCAAGUGAUAAAGGUUCAAUUAUUAGCUUGACAAUCAAUUGGGUAACCUAUCACAAUCAAACAGUUCCAGUUGUAAUUAACAGUUCAUAUAUCUUCUUAACAUAACCAAACUGAUUUUCCAGAAAAUAAGAAUAUAUUCAAUUUUAGACAGACUAACAGAUAAGUAAGAAUCCGAGUGCAUGGAUGAAGAGAAAUGAACACACAACAGUUAUACUGGUUCACUCAAAUGAGCUACAUCUAGUCUCACCUAAUCCAAGGUGAAAUCCACUAAACAAAUGUACCAAACACACUUACACAACCACUGUUCUUGAACCCUACAAGAACCUUGACACACUUGUUGUAAAACACUAUUUCAGCACACACACUCUUUAAGAAACCCUAUCAAGAAGAGUUUACAAUCACACUUUUACAAGAAAUGAAAUAUGAAACGAAUACACAUGAUAGACGCUGCAGAAAUCUGCCUUAGACCAGUAGAACAGAUUGCUCACCCAACUAAUAUAGAAAAGCAACUUAUAACAGAUUUUAAAAAAACAGUUAAAGCUGUUAUAAAAAGAACAGAUUGAAAAUAAAAUGAACAAAUUUAUUUUCAAAAGCAGUUAGAGAAUCUAUUAUGUGAAGGAGACUUAGUCAAACACACUGGUGCAAGGAUAAAACGAAAUAAGCUUUUAAGAUACACAUGGCACCAGACUAAAAAGAAUACAUUCAUUUACAGAUGAACAAAUUUAUUUUUCAAAACGAUAACAAAAUAAACUUAACUACUGAAACACAGUCGUUUUGAGAGAGUGAGGACUUAGUCAAAAUACUUGAUGCACAAAACCUGAUUUUCAAAGCCCUUAGUCAAUGCAUCAGUUUAAAAAAGAAUCUAUUUAUUUAGAAAAGAACUGAUUUAUUUUUCAUGCAGUAAGGGUGUUUUUGCAAAACAUGUGAAAAACAGUUUCAGAAAACUUGUGCUUGCUCUUAUCACAUGGUCAGGGAUUAAGAGGUGAGUUACCUAGCAAAAAGCCUACUCUAAAAACCUCUAAACUAUACCUAAGACAUUCUUAAAGCAAAUGUAAAUACAAAUGAAAUUUACACAAAAGACUUCAUCAAACACAUGUCUUGAAGGGGCAGCAACCAUCUUCAACAAUCUCCUCCUGUUUGAUGGAGACAAAUCCUCAUAGCUCUGUUCCUUUAAGAACCUGUACUGCACCAAAUACCAAACCAAAAAAUUGAAACAUUGCAUAACAUGUGAAUCAGUUUCAAGGUGCAGAAUGUAACUUCCUGUUUCACCUAGCUUCACCUAGCAUGGUGAGCUAUUUUUCUCCCCCUUUGGAUUCAUCAAACAGCAUUUAAGCAUAGAGAAAGAUAAAAUAGAAACCCAACCAUAACAGUCCAGAAAACAAAUACAAAUUGUUCAACUUUACAGAAAUAUAAACUGAUAAAAGGAAAGCAUGGAAAGCAAGAUACUUCUAAUCUUUGUAAUAUAACUCUGCAAGCUGCAACUGAACUCCUUCAAUUUGAUCAUCAAGGUGCUGAAACCUUGCUUGAGUUGUCUCAAAAUAUGCUCUUUGUUCUGAUGUCAUGGCAUCAAGGCGAUACAGAACUUGGCUAAUGGUUCACCUCUGUACUCUGGGGUUUAAUAUGCAACAAUAGCCUUCUGAUGAGUUGCAGCAGCUUCUUCAUGCACUGAUUGGGGAGCUGGUGAAUCUCCUCUGAUUUCUACAGAUGGAGAGCUUAUCCUUUGACUUCUAGCAUGAUCAGCAAAUGGCUCUUGCCCGUAGGAGUGAUGGAUAAUAUAGCAUGAGUGUUCUGCAGCUUGAACCGUGUCAUCUUCCAUGGGAACAGCCUCAUUUCCAUCUUCAUUGUUGAGGUUCGAGGCUCCAUGUUCUUCUUGAGGAUCCUUGCCUUUGAGAAUCACCCAGCUGUCCUCCACUUUAUGAAACCCCAUUUUUGUGAGAGUUGAGCUAUCAAUCUCACUUACAGCUUUGAUGGUUUCAUUUCGCUCAUUAGAAGUGUCAAUGCCAAAGUAUUCAAUCAAUUUUGAAACAAGUAUAGCAUAAGGAAAGCGAUAAUCAGUUAAUCUUUUGGAUUUCAGCAUAUGCUCAUUGAUGAUAUACACCCAGUUAACCUUGAUUAGAUUCAUGAUGCAGUAUAAAAGGAUUAAAUCCUCUUCAUGUAAAACAACAUGAUUUGUACCUCUAGGAAUGAGUUGCCAUGCUAUUAUGUAGGCAACAAGUCGUGGUGUUAGGUUCAGAUUACCUGCAUGGAAUUUGCUUAUGCUCUGGGCAGGGUUCCUCAUACAACUUCUGAAAUAUUGGAUUUUGUUGAACUCCUGAAUCCCACUUUUGUUCCCUUUUCCAACCUUUAGACCAGAGUAUUUAAUUCCAGCCACUGAAUUCCAGACUUCACUAGUGACCUUCAUUUUGAUUCCUUUCACAUAGAAUACAAUGUUCUUUCCAUCCAAGGCUAGAUUUUUGUAAAAUACCUUAACUAAGUCAGGGUAUAUUACCAGUUAAUUCCAACAGCUUUUUCAGUUUCCGGUGCUUCAGUGCAGACCUUGUUUCAGUCAAUUUUUCAGAUUUCAGCCAGUUGAAAUCCAGUACCUUGGGUAUGUUAAUCUGUUUUUUGCUCAUCUCGUGAAUGUAGGCAUUGAUACUCUCUUCAUCUCCAGCGAACCAGCUUUCUAGCACUCCUUGAAAGGUGCUUUGCCUGUCCUGAUUUUUCUUUUUCUGUCUUGAAGAGGAAGUCACGGUUGAACCAGAAUUUUCUUUGUGAUUUAAAUGGUGAGCAACGAAUAUGGGCAACCAAUGUGGGUAGCAGUUUUUUUACACAGAUUUAUAUUGUAAAAUGAAUAACUUGAUGGAGUAGUUAUGAAUGGAUAUGCACGAAGAUUUUAUGUUCUGAAAUUGUGCAGAGAAUCUUUGAAAAUAUGCAGCAAAUAUUUAGGGUCACGAUGCACACAUAUCACACCUUCAUUGAGCAGCCAAUGCAUCAAAUCGGUUACAUAACCAUGACCAGAACCGUCAAAGGUACAGUGGUUAAUGCCCACUAAGUCAGUCAAUCAGUCAAAGAACACAUUCUCUUUCCUAGUCAUCAAAGCAUAUCAGUACCAAAAAUAAACACAUUUAAUUGCGAAUAAACAUAUUUAAUUUUUCACUGCAAGGUACAAUUACAUUUAUAAUUCCCAAUUCAUUGAGCAGAAAAUUAAACCUAUCUUUAGCCAAUGGUUUUGUGAACAAAUUUGUAAGCUGUAAAUCUGUACCAAUGAACUUAAUCUCACAUGUUCCAUUUGAUAUGUGUUCCCUUAGGAAGUGAUGCCUAAUUUCAAUGUGUUUGGUUCUUGAAUGCAUGACAGGGUUUUUGGUUAAGUUGAUUGCACUUGUGUUAUCACACAACAGAGGUAUAUGGUUAAGUAAGAUACCAAAGUCAUUCAAUUGUUGUCUUAGCCAUAUGGUUUGAGCACAACAACUCCCUGCUGCAAUGUACUCUGCUUCAGCAUUGGAGAGAGCAACACAUGCCUGUUUUUUGCAUUUCCAUGAGAUCAAGCUUGAUCCAAGCAAGUGACAGGUACCACUGGUGCUCUUCCUAUCAAUUUUGCAACCUGCAAAGUCUGAAUCAGAAUAGCCAGUCAAACUCAAUGAAAUGUUACUUGGAUACCACAAGCCAACUUCUUUAGUUCCUAGCAAAUAUUUUAGAAUCCUUUUGGCAGCAUUGAAGUGUGAUUCUUUAGGAGCAGAUUGAAACCGAGCACACAUGCAAACUGUAAACAUUAUGUCAGGCCUGCUGGCAGUGAGAUACAAUAGAGAUCCUAUGAGUCCUCUGUAUUUGGUUUCAUCAACAUGAAUUCCAGCUUCAUCAUGAUCCAAGUGACAACUAGUUGAGAAGGGUGUGCUGAUUGGUUUGCACUUGUCCAUUUCAAAUUUUCUCAGCAGAUCCUUGCAAUACUUGGCUUGAUUAAGGAAAAUUCCAUCCUUGAGUUGUUUGACCUGCAAGCCUAGAAAAUAGUUCAACUCACCCAUCAUUGACAUUUCAAACUCACUCUUCAUGAUUUUCACAAAUGUUUCACACAAUUCUCCAUUGUUUGAUCCAAAAAUGAUGUCAUCCACAUAUACUUGUACUAGAAUUGUGUCAUGCCCUUUCUUCUUGAUGAAUAAGGUCUUAUCUGAUGUGCCUCUGUCAUAGCCUUGUGAGGUAAGGAAAUCACUUAGCCUCUCAUACCAUUUCCUAGGAGCUUGCUUGAGCCCAUAGAGAGCCUUUUUGAGUUUGAACACGUGUCCUGGAUGUUCAUGGUCUUCAAAACCUGGUGGUUGUGAAACAAAUACCUCUUCAUUUAUAUAACCAUUCAAGAAGGCACUUUUCACAUCCAUUUGGAAUAGCUUGAACCCUUUGAUGCAGGAGAAGGCAAGCAGCAAUCUAACAACUUCUAGCCGAGCCACUGGUGCAUAUGUCUCAUCAUAGUUUAUUCCUUCUUCUUGAUUAUACCCUUUAGCCACUAGCCUAGCCUUAUUUCUGGUAAUCACCCCAUGCUCAUCCAUCUUGUUUCUGAAUACCCAUUUUGUUCCAAUGAUAUUUAUCUCAGGUAUUCUAGGAACAAGAGUCCAUACCUCAUUUAAAGCAAAUUGAUUUAGUUCCUCUUGCAUGGCCAUAAUCCAGUUAUUGUCCUUGAGGGCUUCAUUCAGAUUUUUGGGUUCCACUUGAGAUACAAAGGCCAUUGUUUCACAGAAGUUAUUCAAGGAUUUCCUAGUUGAUACUCCCUUCUCAAUGUUUCCAAUGACAUUAUCAAGGGUUAGGUCUCUUGGGGUUUUCUAUUCUUUUUGGCAAACCUGCAGACACAGUAGGUUCUUGCAUAACAUGUGAGUCAGCAGUAUCAAUAUGAAUUGAUUCAUUUUGAUUUAAAAUAGAUUUAAAUUCAUCACGGUCAAGGUCAUCAGCAGCAGUUUUAGAUAUGCUAUGAUAAGCUUCAUCAAAUACAACAUGCAUUGAUUCUUCUACUAUGAGCAAUCUUUUAUUGAAGACUCUAUAUGCAUGACCAUUCAAAGCAUAACCAAUGUGCACACCUUCAUCAGAUUUAGCAUCAAACUUACCUAAAUUCUCUUUGCCAUUAUUCAAAACAAAGCAUUUACACCCAAAUACUCUAAGGUGACUCACACUAGGUUUCAUGCCCUUAUACAAUUCAUAUGGAGUUUUCUUAAGAAUGGGUCUAAUUAAGGUUCUGUUUAACACAUAAGUUGUAGUAUAGACUGCAUCUACCCAAAAAUACUUAGGAAGCUUAGAUUCAUUUAACAUGGUUCUAGCUAGUUCCUCUAAUGAUCUGUUUUUCCUUUCAACUAAACCGUUUUGUUGGGGAGUCCUCAGGGCUGAAAAGGUAUGUGAUAUCCCAUGCUUCUCACAGAACCUCUCAAAUCUAGCAUUCUGAAACUCUCCCCCGUGAUCACUUCGAAUUGAUUUUAUGCAACAACCAUUUUCAUUCUGUAAAGCCUUUGCUAAUUUCUUAAAGGCAUUGUAAGCAUCAUUUUUAUGUGCAAAAAACAAAGUCCAUGUAAAUCUAGAGUAGUCAUCCACAACAACUAAAACAUACAAAUUUCCAGCAAAGCUAGCAACUCUAGAGGGUCCAAAUAAGUCCAUAUGCAAUACAUCCAAUGGAUUUUUUGUUGAAACAAUGUCCUUUGAAUUGAAAGAGGAUCUGAUUUGUUUACCUUUCACACAAGCAUCACAAAGCCUGUUAUCCUGAAAUUUAAUGUUAGGUAAACCAGAAACAAGAUCUUUAGAUUUCAAUUUAUUUAAGUGAUUAGUGUGUAUGUGAGCUAACCUCAUGUGCCACAGCCAAGACUCUUCACUUCUAGACAGUAAACACUCAUUUGAAGAGUUAGAUUCCAUGAUAUCCAAGAGGUAUAUGUUAUUCACUCUCUUACCAGUAAACAACACCUUACCAGAGGAAUCACUUGAGAUUGUGCAGCCCUUUGACUUGAAGUUCACCUUGUAUCCUUUGUCACAAAGUUGACUGAUGCUGAGAAGGCUAUGCUUGAGUCAUCCUACAUAAAGCACAUUCUCAAUAGUGGUUGAAUUCCCUGUUCCAACAAUGCCUCUUCCCAAAAAAUUUCCUCGGUUAUUAUCACCAUAGGUUACAUGUCCCUCUGCUUUGAGCUUCAAGCUAGUGAAUUUUAUAAGAUCUCCAGUCAUAUGUUUGGAACAACCACUGUCCAAGUACCAUUUAUUUCUCUUGCUGCCUUUUGAAUCAGAGAUUGACCCUUCAUCUUUCACCAUGAAGCACAUAUUAUUUUCCUCACUCUCAGUUGAAGAGCUGCUGGUUGAAGAUACUUCAUUCUCUUCCCACGAAAUGUAAGCUCUUCUCCCCUUGCACCUUUCAACCUUCUUGUUGGCAGAUUUUUCCUUUGAUUGAUUGUUUGGACAAUCCAUUAUGAAGUGCCCUGUUUUGCCACAACCAAAGCAAGUGUAGUUAGAGGAAUUUGAGUCAUUAGGUUUAGGAUACCUUCUUUUCUGUUGGUUCCUAUCUCUUCUUUUCUUCUUCAGGAAUCUGCUAAACCUCUUUGUAAGUAGGCUGAUUGUUUCAUCAAGUUCAACAUCUUAUUUUUCCUCAUUGAUCUCAUUCUGUUCACUUGCUUUCAGUGCAACUCUUUUGGGUUUUCUUUUCACUGUUUCCUGCUCUUUGAGUCUUUUGAGCUCCAGCUCAUGCUCCAUUAAUUUCCCAAAGAGUGCAGCAGUUGACAGCUUUGACAGAUCACAGCUUUCUGAUAUGGCAGUCACCUUGGGUUGCCAGCUUCUGUCGAGGCACUUCAACACUUUUAUGUUGAGUUCCUCUCUGUCAAAUUCCUUUCCCAAACCAGUAAGGUGAUUCACAAUAUGAGUGAACCUUUUCUUCACAUCAGAAAUGCUCUCCUCGGGUUGCAUUCUAAAAAAUUCAUAUUCUUGGAUGAGAGAAUGUUUUCUUGAUCUCUUCACAUCUUCAAUACCUUCAUGAGUGACUUCCAAGACCUCCCACAUCUCCUUAGCUGAACUGCAUUGGGAUAUCCUAAAGAACUCAUCCAUUGUUAAUGAGGAGGUUAUGAUGUUCUUGGCCACAAGAUCAUAUUGAGCCUUCUUCCUUUCGGUCUCAUUCCAUUCAGAUCUUGGCUUUGCCACUUCUUCAUCCUUGACAACCUGCAUUGGCACAUAGGGUCCAUGGACCACAGCCUCCCAAAUAAAAGAGUCAAUAGAUUCCAUGAAAAUUUUCAUUCUAAUUUUCCAAAAGGCAUAAUUCAUUCCAUUGAACAUAGGGGGUCUAUUAACAGAAGAUCCCUCAGCAAAAAGCACUUUAAACUCAAACAUUAUUGCAAACAAACUUGAUUAAAAUACAAGUCCUAGCUCUUGAUACCAAUUGUUGGGUUCAAUAGUGUCAAAGUUCAAGAGGGGGGGAGGGGGGGUGAAUUGACCUUUUAAAACUUUCUCGCAGAUUCAAGUUUUAUCACAGUAUACAGAAAAUAAAUCGAUUGAUUUAACAAUGAAGAGAUUUAUUUUUACAUUGUUUAUGUAUUAAAGCGUUUAUACCAGUCAAGUAAUUCUUGAAAUUAUGCAGAUUGAUUUGCAAGCUAUACACACACUGAUUUUAAGAGGAUAUUAUGUAAAACAGAAUAAGUGACCUUCAAUUUUUUUUUAAGCAAGUGAUAAAGGUUCAAUUAUUAGCUUGACAAUCAAUUGGGUAACCUAUCACAAUCAAACAGUUCCAGUUGUAAUUAACAGUUCAUAUAUCUUCUCAACAGAACCAAACUGAUUUUCCAGAAAAUAAGAAUAUAUUCAAUUUUAGACAGAUUAACAGAUAAGCAAGAAUCCGAGUGCAGGGAUGAAGAGAAAUGAACACACAAAAGUUAUACUGGUUCACUCAAAUGAGCUACAUAGUCUCACCUAAUCCAAGGUGAAAUCCACUAAACAAAUGUACCAAACACACUUACACAGCCACUGUUCUUGAACCCUACAAGAACCUUGACACACUUGCUGAAAAACACUAUUUCAGCACACACACUCUUCAAGAAACCCUAUCAAGAUUAGUUUACAAUCACAGUUUUACAAGAAAUGAAAUAUGAAACGAAUACACCUUAGAGGAUGCAGAAAUCUGCCUUAGACCAGUAGAAUAGAUUGCUCACACAGUAGCAGCACCUCUAACCAAGCCAUAGAGCCAACCAAGAACAAGCACACUUUUGAUUUGUAAAAUCUUUCAAGAACACAUGCUAAUUCUCUGUAAAUCCUUAAUUCUUUGUUGUAAAACUUGUUUUCUCAAUUGUAUGAUUCACGUUUAAAUGUAGGAACAAGCUUUCUUUGAUGGAAUAGGGCCACACAUCACUUCAAAGGAAGGUCAUACACAAAGACAUAUAGGGCCAACUACAAGGGCAAUGACCAAGAGGCUUGAUGAGGAUUGGGACACUGCCACUGAUGGCAGAGAAACCUACCUUUACAUGUUCCAAGAAGUCCAAAAUCAAGCGUAGCAUAGUCUUUAAAUUCUUGUCAAAAUAGUAUAGAUUUUCCUUUUGUAAAAUUGUUUAAAUUGUAAUUAGGAUAAAUGUAGGUUUCUAAAAACCAACAUAAGUUAGCUUACGGUUUCUAGAAGCUACUAAGCUAACUUAGACCGGUCAUGUUAGGCUUAGACGCACCAAAGGUCACACUUGGUUCACGCUUACGAUGUGACUUCCUAGGUGCCACAUUUACAUGUCAUUUGGCUAGCAUUUCAUUUCCAUUACCUCUUCAUUUCCGGUCCUCCAAGGCUACAUAAGGAGGAGCCUACCUCAUGUUUUCAUAAGAUUAAUUUGAGUAAUUAAAUGCUGCCAAAAUGUGUCAUUCUUACUCCCUUGCCUAAAAUUUCUUAAGAUUUAGGUCUCUAAUCUUCAAACCUUUCACCUACAAAGAGAGUUGGCCGAACCUCUCUCACUCUCCUACUCUUCAUGCUCCUCUAAGGCUUACACAACUCCUAGGAGAGCCUUAUUCCACCAACAAUCCAUUGAAGCUUUCGCAAAUUCCACAUCAAAAACGCAAAGAUGAAGAGCUCAAGCUAUCAUUUGGUAUCAGAGUUAUGGUCUUCAAGAGAUAAAUGUCUCUUUUUAUUUUUUUUGUUUCAGUUCUUCUUAUCUUCAUGUUGUUCAUCUCUUGUUCAUGUUGUCUUGUUGUUUUUACAUUUUUAAUUUGAUUUAGAUGUUGUUCUAAGCAUUUCAAUCGGUAGAAAAUGUUCAAAUUGUUCUUGAGCACCUUAUUUUCAAUUUUUGUGUAGGAAUCUAUGGAGAAUUGUGUUGCUGUUUUGAUUUUAGGUUACUUGAGUCUUGUUUGAAUUUCUGUUCGGUUCAUAUGAUGUUCUUGAGUCAUUUUAUUUUCUGAAUCUAUAUGUUUUGUCUAGUCAUGUAAUUCCAAGAAAUGUCAACAAAUCUUAGUAGUACUUUUCUUGAUUCAUUUGUUUCUUGUUUUGAAUUAAGUGUUUAAUUUGAAUUCUGACUUGUUUUGUUCCUUUGGUGCAUUUUCCUUUUAGUUUGAGUUCAUAUUUGUAUGAUAGAUCCAUACAAAUUCCUAUAACAUUCACUCCAUUGUGUUUUUGAAGUUUCGUUUUCUGUUUUUAAUUCCAGAACUAGGAUUCCUGUGUUUUUACAAAUUCUGUACUGGAUGUUUUGUGUUAUGAAAAUUAAAUUCGUUGAAGAAAAAUUCUGAGAUUCUGGAUUUCAGUGGUUUGAUGUGUUAGAAAAAGAAGAAAAAAAGAAUUAGUCGAAAAGACAAAAUAUAAAAAAAAAAGAUAAAUCACACAAAAAAAGUGUGCAUUCUAGCGCUAAAAUUGACGGUAGUUGGAUAGGAAUUUUGAAAAUUUUAUCACAAUUAAUUGGUGCAUGUUUUUGGUGUGAUUCCAGCGCCAAAAGUUUGUGUUUAAAUUUUCAGAAGCAAAUUCAAAAUACCCAGCUCAGCAUAAAUAUUUUAAGUCACGCUAUCUGAACCUGAAAUUUUCCAGUAGUGCUGUUUUGGUUUUUCAAAUCAAUUCUAGUGUCAUUCUUUAGGUUCCUUUUGUGUGCCAACUUUUGUUGAGUGCCUAUUUUUUAUUUUGCUUGUCCAAUAUCAUUUUGAACUCUUUCUAGUUGUGUCAUAUUAUUAAAUCCAAUUGCUGUGGUGCUGUUUUUAAAAUUUAAUUGUUUCUUGCUUUCUUUUCUUGACCUCUAUAUUGUUGGUGGAUAAAUUUCAAUUGGUGCUUGUUAAGUGGAAAUUGACUUGAGGAGAGUCUAGCUCUACUUAGUAGGUACUGUUUUGGAGAAUUUGAUUGCUUAAAUCAUAAGAGGUUCAAGGCAAGGAGCAGCAGCAAAUACAAAUACCAAAAACAAACCAUACACUUUGAAGGACACAACAAAGAAGAGCAAAAACAAGCCUAAGGAGUGCAUAACUUAGCAAAGCUGAAAUUAAAUUUGUGCAAUUCAAUUUCUUUGCAUUUCUUGAGUUGUAAUUACAUUUCACUUUUGUUAAUUAGUGGAUUAAUCAUGAUUAGACGGUGAGUGUUUCUUCAAAGGCUCAAAGUGUCUAAGAAGCCUCACCUAGGAAACGACUAGUUUAAAGUUUUGUAGAUUAGCAAUUUUAAUUGUGUUAGCUAGUUUGUUUUACGGUAAUCCUUGCUUAGUUUUUGCUUAAAAUUGCUUACGUUAAUUCUUGUGUUAGCUAUGUUUUAAUUGCUUAUGUUAAUUUCUUGCUUAAGCUUUGAUUAAUUGUUUUUGUUUGUUAAAUAGAUUGACAUUGUUUUCAUUGCAUAAAAUUUGAUUUCUCCAUCCUCAUUGUGUUAUAAGUACUUUACUUAGAAAAAGAAUUGUGUGAAGUUUUUUAGGGAUAGUUUUUGGCUAAGGCAAGACUUGGUACUUAAGUAGUCCUUAGUGACUCAUCUCUCUUACCUGGAAAGCUACCUUCAUGAACUUUCCUCUUCUUUCUUAAAGUAAAACACUUCUAAACACAAAGUUUUAGUCAUUUCUUCUCACUCCUCUAAAUCUAAAUCUAAUGAAAGUGAUAUGAAGUCCAUUAAAUCUCUUCUAAAACAACUUGCCAAGGACGUUCAAUUACUUUCAUAUAGACAAUUGGAGAAUGAGGCCAAAAUUAAUGAAUUGACUAAAGAAAAGGAUGAAAAUUCUAAAAAAUAAAAAAAAAUUACAUUCUCAUGCAUCUAGCUCUAAAAAUCAUGAUUCUCUUGGGGAGGGAAGUCUUAGAAUAAAUGAAUACUAUCAACCACCCCCUAGAGGAAUAGAAGAAGAGAGCAAGAAAGCCCAAAGAGGUUAGGGUAGACCUACCUCAUUUCCAUGGCAAAGAAGAUGUAGAAGUAUACCUAGAUUGGGAAAUGAAGGUAGAACAACUUUUUGCUUGCCAUAGAGUGAGUGAAGAAAGGAAAGUGCCCCUAGUCACUCUUAGUUUUCAAGGAAAUGCUAUGUAUUGGUGGAGAUCUAUAGAAAGAGAUAGGCGUCUUCAUAGGGAGCCUCCCAUAGAAUAUUGGAAUGACCUUAGGGGAGCCCUAAGACGCCGCCACAUACCUUCCUACUACAAUAGGGAGUUAAUGGACAAGCUCCAAAGACUCCAACAAAGAAAUAUGAGUGUAGAAGAGUAUAGACAAAAGAUGGAGCUUUAUAUGAUGAGAGCCUCCAUUAGGGAGGAUGAAACCACCACCAUAGCUAGAUUCCUAAGUGGGCUCAAUCUUGAGAUAAGGGAUAGGGUUGAACUUCUACCUUAUCAAGACUUGAAUGAUUUGGUUCAACUUUGUAUUAAAGUUGAACAACAAAAUUUAAGAAAAGCUUCAAGUCAAAGAGUAGGUUCAUAUCCUAACUCUUAUCCCAAGAAAGAUUAUAAAAGGGAGGGUAGUUCAUCUAAAGAGAAACCAAAAGAAACUACCAAACCUUUAGUAAAGGAUACCUUCACUCCACCCACUCGUGCUAGGGACACCAAAUGUUUUAAAUGCUUUGGAAGAGGACAUGUGCAAGCACAAUGUCCAAACCAAAGAUCUUUGUUCUUAAAAGGAAUAGAUGAAUACACUAGUGGUGGGGAUGAGCCUAGUGAAAAAGAAGAGGAAGGGGGAGAUGAUGAGAGGGUAAAUCCUUUAGAGGGGGACUUAUUGAUGAUUAGAAGAACCCUCAACAAUCAACCUAGUGCAUCUAUAGAAACACAAAGAGAGAACAUCUUUCACACAAGAUGCAAUGUUUUAGAAAAUAUAUGUUCUCUCAUUGUGGAUAGUGGAUCAUGCUGCAAUUGUUGUAGCACUAGGAUGGUUGAAAAACUAAGUCUACAAGUAGUUCCUCAUCCUAAACCCUACAAAUUACAAUGGAUCAAUGAGAAUGGGGAACUAAGUGUAGAUAAACAAGUGGAAGUCAAGUUCUCUAUAGGUAAAUACAAAGACAAAGUGUUAUGUGAUGUAUUACCUAUGGAAGCUUGUCAUAUCUUAUUAGGUAGACCAUGGCAAUUUGAUAAGAAAACCUUGCACAAUGGUCUAACUAACGAGAUUUCCUUCACCCAUAAGCAAAAAAAGUUUGUACUUAAUCCUUUACCACACUCUCAAGUGGUGAAAGAUCAAAUACAAAUGAAACAUAAGAGGGAUGAGGAGAAAAAAAAACAAAAAUAGAAAAAGAGAAAAUCCUUAGGGAUAAGAAGGCGUGGGAGAAGAGUGUUCCUUCCCACAAGGUUAUUCAACAAGACAAACCUUUUGAAAACACCUUUGAAAUAUGCUUCUUGUUGAACAACCUAGCCUAAUCUUUUGUAAAGGAACACUUGCAUGCACUGCCACAAACCUUGCACCCAUGAUUCUACCUCCUCAAGUUAAAAAUCUUUUAAGUGAAUUUGAUGAUAUAUUCUCUAAAGAGGGACCCAUAGGACUUCCUCCUUUUAGAGGUAUAGAACAUCAAAUUGACUUGAUUCCGGGGGCAAGCCUACCAAAUAGGCCAGCAUAUAGAACUAACCCCGAGGAAACAAAGGAGAUAGAGUCACAAGUUCAAGAUUUGUUGGAGAAGGGUUGGGUUCAAAAAAGCCUAAGCCCUUGUGCUGUACCUGUCUUGUUGGUGCCCAAAAAGGAUGGAAAAUGGAGAAUGUGUUGUGAUUAUAGAGCAAUCAACAACAUCACCAUCAAGUAUAGGCACCCAAUCCUAAGGCUUGAUGACAUGCUUGAUGAGUUACAUGGGUCAAUUAUAUUUUCCAAAAUUGAUCUUAAAAGUGGGUAUCACCAAAUUCGAAUCAAGGAGGGUGAUGAGUGGAAAACCGCUUUUAAGACCAAGUUUGGACUAUAUGAAUGGUUGGUGAUGCCUUUUGGUCUCACCAACGCACCUAGUACAUUCACGAGGCUAAUGAAUCAUGCUUUGAGAGAUUGUAUAGGUAAAUAUGUAGUAGUAUAUUUUGAUGAUAUCUUAGUGUAUAGUAAAAACCUAGAAGACCACCUAAGCCACCUUAGGGAAGUUUUUCUAGUACUUAGGAAUAAUAGUUUGUUUGCAAAUAGUGAUAAGUGUACUUUUUGUGUAGAUAGUAUAGUUUUUCUAGGCUUUAUAGUAAACAAAAAAGGGGUACAUGUUGACCCCGAAAAAAUCAAAGCCAUCCAAGAGUGGCCAACUCCACAAAAUGUAAGUGAUGUUAGAAGCUUUCAUGGUUUAGCUAGCUUCUAUAGGCGCUUUGUGCCAAAUUUUUCAAGCAUAGCUUCACCUCUUAAUGAGCUUGUAAAGAAAGAUAUUACAUUUUGUUGGAAUGAAAAACAUGAACAAGCCUUUCAAAGGCUAAAAUCUCAACUUACCAAUGCACCCAUUCUAUCUCUUCCAAAUUUUGCUAAAACUUUUGAGUUAGAAUGUGUUGCAUCGGGGGUUGGCAUAGGUGCAGUAUUGUUACAAGGUGGGCAUCCAAUUUCUUAUUUUAGUGAAAAACUUCAUAGUGCCACCCUUAACUAUCCCACCUAUGACAAAGAGCUCUAUGCACUUGUAAGGGCCUUAAAGACUUGGGAAAACUAUCUUGUUUCAAAAGAAUUUGUUAUUCAUAGUGAUCAUGAAUCUUUAAAAUACUUGAAAGGCCAACACAAGCUCAAUAAAAGGCAUGCAAAGUGGAUGGAAUUUCUUGAGCAAUUUCCUUAUGUCAUCAAAUACAAGAAAGGAAGCACAAAUAUAGUGGCGGAUGCUCUCUCAAGGAGACAUGUGCUAUGUUCAAAACUUGGUGCUCAAAUUCUUGGAUUUGACAACAUAAAAGAACUUUAUCAAGAAGAUCAAAACUUUGCAUCUAUCUUUGCUAAAUGUGAACAUAGAGCACAAGAAGGUUACUAUGUGACUGAAGGGUAUCUUUUUAAAGAAGGCAAACUUUGUAUUCCCCAAGGUACACAUAGAAAACUUCUUGUAAAAGAAUUACAUGAAGGGGGACUCAUGGGCCAUUUUGGAGUUGACAAAACUCUUGAUCUUUUAAAAGGAAAAUUUUAUUGGCCACACAUGAGAAAGGAUGUCCAAAGACAUUGUUCUAGAUGUAUUUCAUGUUUAAAAGCAAAAUCUAGAACAAUGCCUCAUGGACUAUAUACCCCUUUACCGAUUGCAAAUGCUCCUUGGGAAGAUAUUAGCAUGGAUUUUAUCUUAGGACUUCCUAGGACUGCAAGAGGUCAUGAUUCCAUCUUUGUGGUAGUGGAUCGUUUUAGUAAAAUGUCACAUUUUAUUCCUUGCCACAAAGUGGAUGAUGCUCAAAAUAUUUCUAGACUCUUCUUUAGAGAAGUGGUGAGACUUCAUGGUUUGCCAAGAAGUAUAGUAUCCAAUAGAGAUCCAAAAUUUAUAAGCCAUUUUUUGAAAACCCUUUGGGGAAAACUUGGCAUAAGACUACACUUUUCAACAUCUUGUCAUCCUCAAACGGAUGGCCAAACCGAAGUAGUCAAUAGAUCUCUUGGUACUAUGCUUAGGGCAAUCAUGAAGGGUAAUCACAAAUCUUGGGAUGAGUACCUUCCCCAUAUUGAGUUUGCUUACAAUAGAGUAGUUCACACUAUAACAUUUUUUACUUUAGACAACGCUGAAAUAGACCACGCGUAUAAAAAUGUUGCCUAAACAUAGUAGAGACCACGGUUUUAAAAAUGUGGCUUAUAAGUUAUAAAAAACCACGGGUCCAAAACCGUUGAUCUUUUAGGCCAUGGUUUUAAAAACGUUAACACUUUAGGCCACAGUUAUUUACACGUGGUCUUUUAGUUUUAAAAAAAAUUUAAAAUAAAAUGUAAACAAAAUUUGAUUUUGCGGGAAAUUCUUUUCGUAUUUCCCUCUCUCGUAAGUGAAAGAUGCGAGUCUCGCACCUCAGUAUGACAUUUCACACACUCUGACCCAGAGCGCCAUCUUCCCAAAUCCCAUCGCCUUCUUCUGUCCAAAUCCUCUCGCGAGCCUUCUUCUUCCCAAAAGCCGUAAUAAUACCCAAAUUCUAAACUUGGGUGGUGUGAGUUGGAAACCCUAGGGCAAAUGAAGUUCUUCGUGGUGAGGAGGUAGAGGGUUUCGGUGAAAUCGGUUACCACUGGAGCCAAACGAAGUUCUUCGUGGUGAGGAGGUAGAGCGUUCGUCGUUUGCGGUGAAACCCUAAAGGUUAGUGAUUUCUUUGACUCGCUUUUUGUUUUACCCAUUUGCAUACUUAGUUUCAGUCUUAGAUUUAUGUAUCAAUAUGCCUAUUCUGGAUGGGUGCCAAUUCUGUUUUUUUAAUCUGUUAUACUAAGCAUAUUUUGCAUAUUAAGACCGUUAAAAUAGUGUUGAUUGUCUGUGCCUUUGAUGAAAUUGUUAGUGCCAAUCAUGAACCUUGUUGAUAAUAGGUUGCGCUCGGUAGGUAUAUGGUCUUAAUCAUGAAAGACCAUUCACUUAGUAGGUUUCUGGUAGUGAGCACCACUGUUUUGGUGCUGCAAUUGUUUUUUUUAAUAGUUUUUCUGGUUUUUUAGGUACCACACUAUGUUCUGAGCUAGAAGAGAAGCCUUAAUAUGUUUGGGAGGCUCAUAGAGAGGGGAGGUAGGUCUUUUGGCGUGAUGGUGCAGUUCUUGAGAGCUGCAGAAUCGGUAAAACCUUUAGAAAGAAAGCAGAUAGCAGUUAAAAUCAGCCAAAGUCACUUUUUCUGCUGGCCCAACCAUGUGUGAGAUGCUCAAACUUGCAUUGUUCAUUGUCUUGUACAAGUAGUUUGUAGCAGCCUGCAACAUACAAACAACUCUGCAUUACUCACUUUAACUAAAUAAAAUAUUAUAACAUUAAAAUUUCUUAGAAAAGCAACUAGGGUUCAUGCAUUCAGAUAAUCACACAAAACAUGAUCAUUAUUUCAAAUCUCUGGUCCUUUGAUUUGGUUCAACAAGCGUAAAAGCACCUAGUCAUUGGUACUGCCAAAGAAUUUCCCUGCCUGUUGAUUUUUUUUCUUGGCUUCUAACACAAACUCAAGUGGGUUCAAUUCAUUGUUAUCACUUACAAUGGGAAUUGGAACAUGCAUGAAGUGGAAUCUGUUCCCCAAGGUGCCUUAGAAUCAGUUUGCAUCUCCUUAGCUUAUUUGUAAGCUCUAAUUUUCCUGGUAUUGAGCAGCACCAGUGCUGUAUUUUUUGUCGUGCCUCAUUUGUGAUUCUUUGCCUUCAUGUACAGUUGAAUGCCAAAGAAAUUUGCACCAACCAACACAUCAUUUACGCUCUGCAUGUACACAAAACAAUUGGAAAAGAAACUACAAGGUUCAGCAAAUAAAUUGCUACAAUCGGUUAAACUACAACUUGGAUUUUGGUUAAAUUUUGUCUUUAACUGAUACUUAUAUGUAUAUGUUUGUAGGUGCAACUUCUACAAGAAAAUGCAAUUUGGGAGGUGAAACUUCAAUUCCAAAUCCAUUCAGGUUCAAACCUAUUACAUUUAUUAUGUUUUUAUUUAUUUAUUUAAAAAAUGUUACAUGUAGAAAACUCCACUUUUGAAGCAUUGUAUUGUAAGUGUGUCUGCUUGUAUGCAAUGCUGCAUAAUUGUAUUUGCUGAAACCACAUAGCAAAAUCUAAAACAUAUAGGCAUAUGCUAAUGCUCUGAAACAGAGAAUGGAGAAGAAAAAAGAUAGCUGGUCGUGGGAAUAAUCUGUUUACUUCCUCCAAGUACAUAUACAUUGUAUACAUGUAUAUGCGCACAAUACUGAUACAAAACUGAUUCAAAUAUCGACUCCUAUAACCUUCUAAUUUCCUUAAAAUAAUUGAUAUUAAAUACAGUUUUAUAAUAUAAUUAAAAAUAUAGGGUUGUUGAAUGUAAGCAGAACAUUAGCAGUUUUCUACCCCAGGAGUGCAAAAUUCUGUUAUACGAUUUAUUUAGAAUUCAGUGAAAAAACUAAUCUCAAAUAUACCCCAAGAAUAUAUGGUCGAUAUCAUAAUGACAGUGAAGUGUAACAUCAGGUUAAACUUUAUUUGUAAGUCAUAAUGCAAGUUGAAAUUUGACAUUAUUAUUGUUGGAAUUUGACAAAAUUCUGUUUUUCUUUAAUAUCCAUUAGUUCACCCUUAUUUAUGUGUUGUGCUAAUUGUAGUUAAUAUAAGAGCAUGUAUUUAACCAAGAAGCUUCAAGAUAAUUUAUUUAUUUUAUUUUGUUAGACUUUGGUGAUGUAAAAUGUUUUGAAAACAGGUACUUCCUUAUAGUGUUGUAUGUAUAUACUUAUAAGUGAUACAAUUAUAAUAUACCUAUAUUAUAGGUAGUGUUUAUUUCACUAAUAUGAUAAUAGUUGUAAUUAAUUCAGGCGUUACAGAUUCUAUACAAUUUUAGGUCUUUGAUUGAUAGUGAAGUGGAUCUUAAAUUAUCAGUUUUUCAUUAAAUGUUGUGUUAAUAAUAUGAUAAAAUUGAAUAAAAAGUAAUUAAGGUGGACCAACUUUACUUUUUCUCCACCAUCCCCAAGAUUUUGUUUCUUCGCACCAAGCAAUACAGUAAUUUAUUCAACUCCAAUUAUGUCUCUUCCCAAUGCCCACUCAUUCUAUAUACAUCUUUUGUUUAACAUUUACUUUCGCACUCUCUAAACAUAAUAAUAUAUUAAAUAAGGAGACACUGGCUGCAUGUAAAAAAUAUGUUAAAUAAGGAAACACUGGUUUCAUGUAUAAAUAAUUAAUUAAAUCAGAAAAAAAACAAUUAUACUUUAUUUGUUAAUAAGAUUUAAAAUCCAAUCAAAAUAUUUGGAUUUGGAUUUAUAAAAUCCAAAUUAUUUUUAUAGAAAAUAUGGAUUUAGAUAAUUUUGAAGUUGAUUUUAUUUUAAAAAAAAAUGCAUUUAUGUGUAUGCAUAUUGAGUUUUUAAUGGUUUGGGAUGUUUACAGGAAGCACCCGUGGCAACUCCAGAAAGAUCCACUGUGGAGAUUGGGCCAAACGUUUCUUCCUUAUCCAAAAAAAGAAGAGGUUACAUUGUUGAUUAAUUAUAAUAUUCAGACUUUAGGUUACAUCAAAGUUGAAUGGAUUUGAUUAGGACAUGUUAUUGAUUAUUUAUACAAUUAUAUUUUGGUAGUUAUAAUUAUUUUGUUUGAAUUAGAUUUUAAUUAGUAUAUAUUUAUGUAUUUUUUUGUAGCUUGAAGGCAAUGAAGACUACAAAGACAAUGAAGAGGAAUGAACUUAUUGAUAUGUAAUAAAGAAACAAUAGACUAUGUUUUUUUAAUUAAGUUUGUAGUUUUAACUUUUGAAGACGUUAUCAUUAUACUCAAAGACAAAUUUUUUUAUUAUGUAUAUGGAACACAUCUAUUGAAAUAUGUGAAAUAUGUGAGAUUUCUAGUUUAGUAAAUUCCAUUUCAAUAAACAUUAUCUUUCAAUAUUUAUUCUUGUUAUCUUGACCUUUUAUAUGUGUAAUUCUUCUAAAAUUAAAAAAAAUUUAUUGUUAUUUUUGUCAAUACUUUAAGCAACGCUUUUAAAAUUGUGGCUGUUAUCAAGAUUUUAGGCAACGGUUUUAAAUUUGUUGUCUUUAUAAAAGUCAUGGCCUAUUACCAACGGCCACGCUCACCUAGACCACGGCCAAAAAACCGUUGCCUAAACUUUAGGCCACAGUUUUAAUGCUUUAGACCACGGUUUUACAGUGUUGUCUAAAGUAAUAUUUGUUGUAGUGUCACAAAACUAUUAAUGCUUCUCGUUUUGAAGUUGUAUAUGGAUUUAACCCUCUCACUCCUUUGGAUUUGUUACCUCUUCCUAAUCCACAAGAAUUUGUGCAUAAGGAAGGAGUUAUCAAAGCCGAGUUUGUUAAAAAAUUACAUGAGAAGGUUAAAAUACAAAUACAACAACAAAAUGAGAAGUAUGCCAAAUACAACAAUAAAGGGAAGAGAGAAGUAAUUUUUGAGGAGGGAGACUUAGUUUGGUUUCAUCUUAGAAAGGAUAGAUUUCCUACUAAGAUAAAGUCCAAACUUAGCCCCCGUGGUGAUGGACCCUUCCAAGUCCCCAAGAAAGUCAAUAAUAAUGCUUACAAAUUGGAUUUACCUAUUGAAUAUGGAGUACAUGAUACCUUUAAUGUAAUUGAUUUAUCUCCAUUUGUAGGUACCAAUGAAGAAGAGGACGAUUUGGAUUUGAGGACAAAUCCUUUCCAAGAGGGAGGAGAUGAUGGAAGAGGGCCAAGCAUCACUUCAAAGGAAGGUCAUACACAAAGACAUAUAGGGCCAACUACAAGGGCAAUGACCAAGAGGCUUGAUGAGGAUUGGGACACUGCCACUGAUGGCAGAGAAACCUACCUUUACAUGUUCCAAGAAGUCCAAAAUCAAGCGUAGCAUAGUCUUUAAAUUCUUGUCAAAAUAGUAUAGAUUUUCCUUUUGUAAAAUUGUUUAAAUUGUAAUUAGGAUAAAUGUAGGUUUCUAAAAACCAACCUAAGUUAGCUUACGGUUUCUAGAAGCUACUAAGUUAGCUUACGGUUUCUAGAAGCUACUAAGCUAACUUAGGCCAGUCAUGUUAGGCUUAGACGCACCAAAGGUCACACUUGGUUCACGCUUACGAUGUGACUUCCUAGGUGCCACAUUUACAUGUCAUUUGGCUAGCAUUUCAUUUCCAUUACCUCUUCAUUUCCGAUCCUCCAAGGCUAAAUAAGGAGGAGCCUACCUCAUGUUUUCAUAAGAUUAAUUUGAGUAAUGAAAUGUUGCCAAAAUGUGUCAUUCUUACUCCCUUGCCUAAAAUCUCUUAAGAUUUAGGUCUCUAAUCUUCAAACCUUUCACCUACAAAGAGAGUUAGCCGAACCUCUCUCACUCUCCUACUCUUCAUGCACCUCUAAGGCUUACACAACUCCUAGGAGAGCCUUAUUCCACCAACAAUCCAUUGAAGCUUCCGCAAAUUCCACAUAAAAAACGCAAAGAUGUAGAGCUCAAACUAUCAUUCUUUUUAUAGAAAAAUAACUUAUAACAGAUUUUCAAAAAACAGUUAAAGCUGUUAUAAAAAUAACAGAUUGAAAAUAAAAUGAACAGAUUUAUUUUCAAAAGAAUCUAUUAUGUGAAGGAGACUUAGUCAAACACACUGGUGCAAGGAUAAAACGAAUAAGCUUUUAAGAUACACAUGGCACCAGACUAAAAAGAAUCCAUUCAUUUACAUAUGAACAAAUUUAUUUUUCAAAACGAUAACAGAAAAAGCUUAACUAUUGAAACACAGUCGUUUUGAGAGAGUGAAGACUUAGUCAAAAUACUUGAUGCACAAAACCUGAUUUUCAAAGCCCUUAGUCAAUGCAUCAGUUUAAAAAUGAAUCUAUUCAUUUAGAAAAGAACAUAUUUAUUUUUCAUGCAGUAAGGGUGUUUUUGCAAAACAUGUGAAAAACAGUUUCAGAAAACUUGUGCUUGCUCUUAUCACAUGGUCAGGGAUUAAGAGGUGAGUUACCUAGCAAAAAGCCUACUCUAAAAACCUCUAAACUAUACCUAAGACAUUCUUAAAGCAAAUUUAAAUACAAAUGAAAUUUACACAAAAGGCUUCAUCAAACACAUGUCUUGAAGGGGCAGCGACCAUCUUCAACAAAUAUGUCCACUUCUUAUUCUUAUACCUUCUUCUGCCAAGGAGGAUACCCAUUAGAGAAACCAAAAUCAACCUUUCUACAAUGAUUUUUAAUUUAAUUUUGAAAUGACAAUGAUCAAGGACAAAAGGGAAGAAAGUAUAAGAAGAAGAAAAUUUAAGUUGAGGGGUAGUGAAAUUGAAGAUUCUACAAAAACUCAACAGACGAUGUUUGUUUGAGGGGGGAACUUACAUGAAGAUAAAGACAAAGACUUUAAAUUUUUUUUUGUUUCUUCUACCUUAUAUAUCAUCUUCUUUAUCUUGAAAAUCUUUUAGGAAAACUUAAUUUGAUAAAAAUGUAUUUUUAAAAAUAUAUGUUUAAACUUUAUUGCUUUUAACACCAUAAAAAAAAUGUGAGAUGAAAUCCUAUACUAGUUUCCUAGCUACAAGUACUUAUAGUAGAAAAUAUAUAUAUAUAUAUAUAUAUAUAUAUAUAUAUAUAUAUUUAUUGUGUUGUAUUAUUUAUGUUCCACAGUAUGUACCUCUAGCCAACACAAGUAUUUUCCAUGUUUAUUAUUUCUAGAUAGUUAGUAUGCAUGAUUUAGGAUAAAGGUAGCUACGUGAAUUUUAACUUGUGCACACCCAAAAGUUUUCAUUGGAUCUACUUUAUUAUUCCUAAAAAUAAUGUUAUUUUUGUUGUUGUUAUAUACAUUCACAUUAACUUUAUUUUGUGUUUGGUUAUAUCCAUCAAUGUUCUAUAAGUGAUUUUUGUUAAGACUCAACAUCCUUGCACAAAACAUAAUCUUGACUCAACAUCCUUGCACAAAACAUCAAUCUUGCAUAACUCAUUGCAUAUAAUAUUUCAGUUACAAAUUAACAAAGCGGGAAAAAUUGAAAUUAAAUGAAUUGUAAAACAUAGUGAAUUCUAGACCAUCUAUAGACAAUCGUUUGAUGGACCGUUUAGCAACACAUGAAUAUAAAUGAAAGAAAAUUAAAGAUAUGAAAUAAAGGGCAAUAUAAACAAAGAAAAAGACGUGAAACAAAAUCAGUAAAAUACAAUUGUCGAACCAUCUAGUCUAUAAUCUCUUGCUAUAUCGUCUAAUGGUUAUUGCACAAAAAAUAAAAUGAAUUACAAUGAAAGAUUCUUCACAGAAUUAUUAAAAAUUCUACUAAGCAAUCGCUCACUAGAUUGUCUAAUGAGUAUAUAAAGAAAUAGUAGAAAAAGAAGCGAAAAUGUAAACGACGAAGAACGUAAAUGACAUAAUCUUAAAUUGUGAAGAAGGUAAAUGAUUGCAAAAGUAAAUUGUCAGANNNNNNNNNNNNNNNNNNNNNNNNNNNNNNNNNNNNNNNNNNNNNNNNNNNNNNNNNNNNNNNNNNNNNNNNNNNNNNNNNNNAUAGGACAUCAUAGAAAAUGUAAAUGACAAUUAAUUAAAUUGUAAUUGAAUUGAAAAUAACUUAUAAACUAGAAUUAAAAUGGCAAAAACUUAAAUGAACAAGAAUUAAAACGAAUUGAAAAUGAGAAAAGUGAAAUUCAAAUUUGGAAUGAAAAUCUGGGAACAAAAACCAUGUUAGUAAUUUUCACCUUCAAUUUCCAAUAUACCAAUUUAGAAAUUACUUUAAAUUUUUUUAUUAAUAAUAAAAAUUACUUCAAAUACCGACAAUUUUUUAGUUUAACAAAUAAUAUUUAAUUUAAUCAAUAUGAUACUAAUAUUUUUUUUUCUCUAAAAUUAAUUUUAUUUAAUAAUUUUUGUAUAAUGCUACAUAAUUUAUCAUUCUUAAAAAUAAUGUUAAUUGUUGUUGUAAUAUACGCCUCAUAUUAACUUUCUUUUGGGUUUAUAAUAUGUGUGAUUUAUAUAAUGAGUGUUUUAUAUAUAUGUUAUUUGUGUUUUUUUUUUACUUAUCCUUAUUGGAAACAUAAUCUUAACAAGAUAUAUUCUCGAUAAUAAAACUUAGGUUUAUGUUAUUUGUAUUUUAUGGGACACUCCUAGAUAAUUAUUUCUUAAUUUAGUUUUAUUUUGAACAAUUAAAAAUUUAUUGACUAAUAUUAUUACGAGUUUGAGAUUAUUUUGUUGUCUAAAAAUGUUUUAUUUUGAAAUCGUAUUUUCAUUUGUAUGUGAAUUUUAUUUAAGGUAAUGAUAUAUGUGAACCUUUUUUAUCUUUCUUUAUAUCGUUUUAUCUUUAUUUUCUGGUUUUAUUAUUUGUUAUUAUUAUUAUUAAAAGGAAAGGUGUAAUGUUAUUUAAUAUGGUUUUCAAAAUUUAAACAUUAGAAUUUGUAAAAUCAAAUAUUCCUAUUCAAAUAAACACAAAUUAUGACUCAGAUUUGAUGAAUUGGAUGAUAUUUAUUUCUAAAUUUUAUAUAAAAAAAUCAAGUUUUUCGUAUCUAACUAUCAUAAAAAUUUAAUUAAAGUUUUGAUUAAAUAAGAUAAGAAUCUAAUAAAAAUUAAUAAUGAUAAUAUUGUUAACAAAUAUAUAUAUAUAUAUAAGAAUCAUUAAUUAGAAAUAACCUUGAAACUGUUGAAAAAGCUAGGUUACACAUGUCUACUUUACUUCCAUUUUUUUACAUUAUAUUUUUCUUUCUUAGUUCUCUUCAAACCCUACUUUCAUGAACGAUCACCACAAAAUCCAAGAUCCUACUUAACUUGUAUUUAGAAUAUUUUGAUUCUGUAUAACGGAUUUUUUUAUUACAUAUCUUCAAUACAAUACAAUAAAUAAUAAGUUUAAUUAUAUUAUUUUCAUAUGAUAAACCAAACAUAUAAAAUAGAAAACAAAUAUUUAUACCUAAAUAUAAAAAGGAAUUCUCCAUUAUAACCGCUAUUUGGUGUACAUAAUUUUUUUUAUUCUAUCAUUAUUUAAUAUAUCUUAUUUUAUUCUAUUAUUAUUUAAUAUAUAUUAUUUUGUUAGUACAAUAGAGUAUUUUGUCAUUUCAUAUAAAUUACUUGAAAAAUAAAAUUAUUUUUUAAUUUUUAAAUUAAUAUUAAUGUACAAUUUUUAUUUUUAUAUGUUAACUUUUCACUCUUCCCUUAAUUACUUAUUUUAAGGCAACAAUAUGAAGAGAGAAUACUCUCACAUGUACACCAAAUCUCAACCUCUCUUUUCAAUCACCCUCUCCACUUCAUUUCAAGCAACUAUACUAUUAUUCUUUUAUAUCUACCAUCAAGUCAAUCCUAACCUUAACGUGAACAUUAUUACACCCUCCGAUCCCAAAACUACCAAUGGAAGAAGAGAAAAAAACUCGAAGAAGAAGAGAAACUCAAACUGAAGAAGAAGAAGAGAUCGUUUAAUCAAUUCAUCAUUUUUUUUUAUAUAUUAUUUUUUAUUUUUUAAUUUUGAUUCAUCCAAAAUAAUUUUUGUAUGUAGGUAUAUUAAAUUUCUAUUCUCAUGAAAAAUGAAUAAAAUGCGGAUAGACAGGCGGCGCCGUUAGUAUUUAUAAAAUAUAUAAGAUGGUAUAAUAAAAAAAAAUGUAAAAAUACUUAUUCCCACUAGUUUACACGUAAUAUUUCUCUUUUUCCUAUUUAUCUGUUAAUAUUUCUCUUUCCUUAUUCAACAAUUAUUUUUUCUCUUUCCUUAUUCAAGGAUUAGUUUUUCUUCAUGAUAGGUCGUUUAAUUUAUUUGCUAUUGACCCUAUAGUUGAAUGAAAAGAUAAUUUAAUUAUGGAUUUCAUCAACAUACGAUGGAAAACAAAGAGUUGUUGGUCUGGAUACUGAAUGGAUGCAUGUUGUGAAGGCUUCCACAAAGAAGGCUACCAUGAAAGUUGCAAUUUUGCAACUUUGCAUUGAAGAUAAGUGUUUGAUCAUUCAGUUGUUUUGCAUGAACAAUAUUCCUCCUUCCCUGCAGAAUUUUAUGAUAGACUCUACGUUUCAAUUUGUUGGGGUUGGAGUGAUGAAUGAUUUUGGCAUGCUUAAAAAUAAUUAUGGAUUGAAGUGCAAUAAAGGCAUAGAUGUCUUUGAAUUAGCAAAGAAAAGAUGGCCUGAUAGAAUCUCUUCUGCAUCAUUGAAAUAUCUGGCAAAGGAGUUGGUGGAUCUUGACAUGGAGAAGUCAAAAGCUGUGUGUACCAGUGAUUGGAAAGCAAAAAAGCUUACUGAAACACAGGUUCAAUAUGCAUGCAUUGAUGCUUAUGCUUCUUUUAAGAUUGGUAGAAUGGUGUUAUCAGAUGAAGAUACAAGCAGUAAUUAGAUUUAUUUACUUUGUUUUUGUUGAAAAUAUAUGAUCUCCUUUGAUGUAUAAUUUUUUUUUUGUAUAUCUUUCUAGUUACAGAUAUUUUAAUUCGUCUUAUGAAUCUGUUAGUUAUUAUAAAUUUAUACAUAUAAAUAAUAAUUUUUAUGGUUUUUCUUUCUUUGUUUUUAUUUUAUUGUUUUGAGGAGGUGGUUUAUACUAUUUGAUUUGCAUGGGUUAAAAUACAAAUACAUCUACUUUUUAUUCUCACAGAUGUUUGGGUUAACACUCUUCUUAUUUAAAUAUUUAAAAAAUAACAAUACAUUAUUAAAUGUAUAUUUUUCUCUGAUUUACUUUUUGUUCUGUUCAUAUACUCACAAAUGAAAAAUAUAUUUUAAAAUAAAAGAAAAUAACCCUGUCCAUUUCAUCUCAUUUCUAAUUCUUGUAUUUUGAAGAAAGGAGAAAAAAUAAAUCUACAAAAAUGCCUUUUUCUACUGCAAAUAUACUUCUCUUCUAUUUUGAUUUUUGUCAUUAUCGGCAGAUUUCAAUAGUAAGUAGAAUUUGGUCAUAAUUUGAAUUUAUGACUGUAUCAAUCUUAUAGAAUUGGAAUAUAAAAUAUUUUAUGACAUGAAUUUAAACUUAACUAAACUAUAAAAACUGAUUUAUAAAAUGAAAAUUGUGUUAUUCUUAUAUACUGUAUUUUUGUCGAGAUCUUCAAUAAUAUUUGUGGAAAGUUAAACUAAUAAAGGGUUUGAUCAAAGAUAUACAUGUAGGAAGAAAAUGGGGAAAAAAAUCAGUCUUGUACCAAUAUCAGUUUUGUAAAGAAUCAAUCUUUUAACCCCUAACCCAAAGAUUCCCCAACAAAACAAAUAAAAAUCUUGGGAAAAGAAAUAUGGAUGUGGUGGAUGGAGAAUGUCAAAUAGAUCCUACACUGACAGCCAAUUCUCCAAAAAGAAAAGAAUACCUGUCUUCCUUCACAAGGCACUUGAGGAGUUCCAAAUCAGGUUCCAAAUGCAAAGCAUAUUUGACCUUGCUUGCUCUCUUCCAAAUAGCACUCCAAGACAAAUCUAAAAGUUUCCUUUCAAAGGGUUCUUCUAUAUAUUUCAGAGAGCACUUACCUGUGGCAAAUGGAUGACACGGCACCUUACUCAAAGAAGGGAAGCCUGACAACAUAAUUUGUACUACAAUGGAGAAUUUUUUGAAUCAAAUGAGGUUAGUACUUCUAAAAUUUUUCUGCCAAACAUGUUUUGGUAUUUCAUGCCCCUAAUGCUGUAAUGAACUCUUAAUAAAUUGACUUCUAAGUUUUACCAUGUGACUAUGAAAGCAUGAUUGCAUUAGCUAUGCUGUGCUUCUUUUCAGUCUCCCUUCUUACUGAUAGUAAUUGAAUGCAUGCACAUAAUCGUAGCUUAUAACGUAAUUUUUCAUUCAACAUGUAUGCUUUCACAUAUUGAUAAAAUCACGAUAAAGUGUUCAUAAAUACUAUCUGCUUACAUGAACACUUUUGUUAGGGUGCCAUUUAGUGGUGCAGAGGAGAGCAAAUCUGAUCUUGGUGGCACCAAGGAUUCUAAAAUACCAAUACAAAAAACUCAAUCUUUCAAAGGUAAUGUUUCAAGAAACAUUUCUUCUCCUUUAGGUCUUUAUCAUCUGUAUAUUGAACAUAUUUAGCAAGAAAGAGAGAAAUGGUGAAGAGUUCAAAAGGAAGGAGCUGAAAAAUUGUGAUAUGCUGUAAACCUGUAACCAUAAGCAGGGACUAAAAGAAUAAGGGUAAAAAGAGUUGGAUAUUCCCUUUGACCGAAGAUUGAAAAUAUGAAUGAAGAUAUUAUUAUCUUUCUGUCAGUUUUUGGCUUAAAAUCAAUGAUGCAAUUUGUUAACAGAUUCAGGUGAUAAUUUCAGGAGAAAAUAAAGGUGGCCAGAAUUGGAUUCAGAAACAGUUUGCAAGGAAAAGGAGUGGUGAUCAUGAGUCCAGAGACUUGGACCACGCUGCUGCAGUAGCUGCUGCUGCAUUUGCAAUUAAUUUGCUAGAUGUCUCUGAAGAGAAGAAAGAAACCCCGAAGGCCUCAUUGGAAAAGAGCAAAAGCAGGGUGGAUGGCCCCAAACCUCCAAUUCCCCUACGUAGUGCAUCCAAGCGAUUGUCAGGUGAGGAUGAGCAUGUAGAACUCCACUUACCAAUAAUAUACCCUUUUGAAGAGUUCUAGUGCGUGGCCUAUAAUAUUUCUGAACAUUUAUUCUUUAACUGUAGCAGAUUUCAUGUAGCAGAUUUCACUUUAUAGCAUAAGACUUUUGUUGUUGCACACCUUUGUGGGGAUUCAUAAAAUAUAGUACCUUUGUAUGCAUCAUGCUCAGGUUCAUUUAGAUUAAAAGAUGAAGGUAAUAAGCCUGAAGAGGCAAUUACCCCUGCACCAUCAAUGAAAAAGGUUUCCACUUUCAGUGAUGAAAAGCCUGAGACUUCAACAAAGCCUGAUCAUGGAAGACGUCCAACUCUUGGAGAAUCUAUCGAAAGGCACACAAAAGCAGAUGAAUGGGAGAGAACCGAGCUUCAAGAGAUCAGACAAAGGUAUUUUUUGGAUGCGAGUAUUCAUAUUACAUUGAAUUUCUACCAAAAAAGAAGCUCAAUCAGAAUUUGAAUAACUGCUACCAUGCUUGAUCUAUGCAUUACGUGCAGUUUUAUAAUAAUAUAAAAGAAAUUGUCAGGUACGACAAGUUGAGAGAGAUGAUAGAUUCAUGGGAAAACAAGAAGAAGACGAAAGCCAGACGCAAGCUAGACAAGGAAGAGGUUUCACUCAGACAUUCUUUAUACCUUAUACCUAACUUCAUUUAUACUCAAUUAAGUUUUGGAAGAUUCUAUUGUGCUAUAAUACACAUUUUAAGAGUUUAUUUACAUCGUGCUUCAAAUUGUUUGGAGAAUAGUCUCGGGAGGUACACACUUGAAAAAUGUUAUUAACACAGGAAAAGUUGUUCCACCAAAAGUAUACGUAUGACAAUUCAAGCAUUAUCAGCAUGUGAUUCAUCAAACAGUUUAUAACAUGACAUGUCCAUAAAAUAUGAAGCCAAAUAGAAACAUAAAAUUUUAGUCACUUCAUUUUAAAUUCAUAUCCAUUCAAGCAUGUGUUUGAAUUCUUUACAAUCAAACAAUUUAUUUGACCAUUUAUCAAAUCUCAUUAAGCCGUUAAAUGCGUCCACAGCCAAUGUCAGAUUAAGUAUUUGGUCUAACUUGGUAGAUUUGAGUCUCAUUCGUUAACUUUACAGAGUUCGAGGAUGUAAAUAGAUGAUGCUGUUAUGAGCAAAACAAGUGAGAUUUCCAAUUUGCAUUGAACAAUUACAAAUUUGACUGCAUUAGACCUAAAACAAAAGCAUCAGAGUAUAAUACAUCUGAAGUUAUAAUUUGGACAGCAGCUCAAUGUGGAACACGGCCCAAAAUUAU
rnacentral:lncRNA from 1 species